rnacentral:lncRNA from 1 species
AAUUAAUAAUAAAAAGGUAAACUUCAAAUACCACCCUUAGUUUCACACUUUUUUAUUUAGUACUUCAUAAUUUAAAGUAUAUCAAGUUAGUGUUCUGUAAUUUUAUUUUUAUCUUUUCGUCAGCUUUUUUGUUAAUAUUUCGUUAAAUUAUAUAAAAAAAAAACUUCAGAUACCCUACUUAAGUUUAUCAAAUAUUCUUUUUAGUACUAUUUAGUUUUAACUUUGUCACUAAUUUAACAGAAAAAAUUAGUAAAAUCGAUAAUAAAAAAUAAAAAUAAAAUCACAGGACACUAAAUUUAUACACUUUAAGCCACAUGGUACUAAAGUGAGAAAGUGUGAAACCACAAGGUGGUGUUUGAAGUUUUUUCUAGUAAAAAUACAGCAAUUUCUUAUAUAUCUAUAAAAAGUUUUUGACUUUCAUACUUAAUUUUAAAAAUACUCUUUUAAGAUUUCAAAAUCUUUAAAAUAUAUUUCUAGAGGAACUAGGCUACUAUACUAUCGGUAGGACGGAGCGCUCCGUGCUACCAAGUUGUUUUCGAUGAUGCGGCUUCCAAAUCGAUGAUCGGCUCUGUUAGACUUGAUCUACACUAUUGAAAGUAUUUAGAAACUAAAUUUCAUAAUUUUUCGAUAUCAUUUACCUAUCAAACAAGUAGUCCAAAAUUGAACAGCUGAAAAUAAAAAUCUCAUGAAAAAUGAUGAUAAAAGAUUUAAAUUCAAAAUCAGAUAUACUGAUCUUACUCUAAAUAGUGAAAAGAAUUUUCUAUAAAAUUUUCAUCGCAUUUGGAUUGUUUUUUACACCGUUAAACUCACAAACACACCACAUCGGCCAUUAAAAUUGUCAAUUUUGAAAUCUUUUGAUCACUAGUCAAAUGAUGUUGAAAAAAUAUGAAAUUAGUUUCCAAAUACUUUCAAUAGUGUAGAUCAAGUCUAACGAAGUCGAUCGUCGAUUUGGAAGCCGCAUUAUCGAAAACAACUUGGUAACACGGAGCGCUCCGUGCUACUGAUAGCAUAGUAGCCGGACUCUUUCUAGAGUUAAAUUUUAUUAUUGAACUUUUAGAAAUCGCCGUUAUUUCUGUAAAAUUUUUAUUUUACCUUUUCAAAUAUACCUUUUUACCGUCACUAACUUUUUUUAUUUCCCCUAAGUUAAGGGUAAAAGUAGUAUUUGACUUUUUGUCUUGUGAAAUAUAUCCUUCUAUUAUCAUCAAUUUUUUUUUUUUGAGAAUAGAUUAUCAUUAAUUUUUUUUAAUUUGCCCUUUAGUUAGGGACAAAAUAGAUAUUUUUACUAUUUUUUAAUUAUGGUAGAAAUUUAAUUGAGAUUUACUUAAAUCCGGUAUGAUUUAAUGGGAAUUAACAGGGGGGUACUUUUGAAUAACCAAGAAAUAUGUGAGGAGUAUAUUUGAAACCCAAAAAAAUAGGAGUUGAGGUAUUUGAAAAGUUUUAAGAGGUAUAUAAAUAAUUUUCUCUAAUAAAAUUAACAAGAUUUUUUAUUUUUAAUCCUAUUAAGUGUAGGGCUGUGAACGAGUCCAACACCAACGCGUUAAGAUCGGCUAGUGUUCUUUCGUUUAUUAACCAAGCCAAAUACAAACUCAAUUUGUUAAAAUAUCGAGCUAAAAAUUCAGCUCAUAUUCUGCUUAUUUAUUAAUAAGUCAAAUAUGAAUUGACUCGCAAACAGCAAAUUAGAUUGUCAACCUUACAACUGGAUAAAAAGUAAAAAAAAAAAAAAAAGAUUAAAAAACUAGAUUAUUAAUAUGAUAAUUAAAAUUUAUAAAAUAUAGACCUCUAUAUUUGGGUUGGCCAGAAGCUAUAUUGAGUCGAACACGAACGAACUAACUCUAAAUCGUGUUUGGCUCGUUUAUUAAACAAGUGAUCGAUCUUGAGCUCAUUUCAAACUGGAUUGCCGGCCCUAAUUAAGAGCAUAAGUAGCAAGCUAUAUCAUGCAAUACUACUAAUAUACAAUACUCUCACCGACCGUUCCUAGAGCAACUGACAAAGGGCUUGAUGGUUGGUACCCGAGACCCAAGUUCGAAUCCUAGUUGAUUUAUAUUUCUAGCUAAGUUUAUUUCUAAAUGAAAUAAACGAAGCGGGUAGCAUGCUUACAAGUACUAAUUACUGGGCACAUAUUGUUUAAGAUGUCAAAUAUUUAAAGGAAAAACUUCAAAAACCCCCCGUGGUUCCGACCGUUUUCACUUUAGUACCCUGUGGUUUAAAGUAUAUCAAUUUAGUGCUCUGUGGUUUCAUUUUUCUUUUUUUAUUAUCCAUUUUAUCAUUUUUUUUCUUUAAUCAGUGACAAAAUUAAAAUUAAAGAGUACUAAAGUGAAUAUUCGAUAAACCUAGGUGGAUAUCUGAAGGUUUUUGUAUAUAAUUUAACGAAAUACUAACGAAAAAGCUGACGAAAAGAUAAAAAUGAAACCAUAGGGCAGCAAAUUGAUACACUUUAAACCACAGGGUACUAAAGUGAGAAAGUGCGAAACCACAGGAGUUUUUUUUUGAAGUUUCCCUAUAUUUAGAAUCAAAGUUGGCAUGUUUCGUGCAAGAUCUAGCAUUAAAUUGGUCUCACAUUUAGUAAUGUUUAAGUAAUAAAAGCUUUGUGGUGAAGAAUAAUUUUAUUGAUUGAUUGUUGUUCUAAUAAUUUUAGAUUGUUAUUGUACACGUGAGGUUUAAUUGGACUGGACCAAACCAAUUAGAUGUUGAGCCUGUUUGGAUGCAUGAAUCGAGUGAUUGAAACUCGAAUGACAAAAAUCGAUACGUACGAAAUUAACCUUAUUUUGAGGGCAAUUUCAAACAAACCCCUCAAAAGUUAUAAAAUAUCAUAGUUGCCCUUUUAAAUUUAUCAAUAUUAUUUUUAUCCCUAUAAAUUAAUGAAUUAUAUAAAAAAAAUGCUCUUCAAUGUUAAUCAUUGAUUAAAAAUUUUAAACUAAUUUAUCCAUUGUUGUACCUAAUUAUAAAUAACUAUGUAGUAUCAUAUAGGGCUAAUAAAUUAAUUUUUUAUCAAAACAUAACUAAGUUUUUAUUUAUGAUUCAAUUUAUGAAUGCAUUUUUUUUUUUUUGCACUCAAGUUUUCAUUUUUAUCAAUAUCAUAUGGGUCACAUGUUUAAUCAUAAUAAACAAUUAGAUGAAGCUAAAACUAUAUUACACUUUUGUGAGNAAUAUCUAUCAAAUUAAAACUAAUUAAUUGCAACAAACUACACUAUAUAAAUAGCAAAUAAAAAAAUCAUAGACAAAAUAAAAAAAAAUAGACUCACUCAAGUUUUCAUUUUUAUCAAUAUCAUAUGGGUCACAUGUUUAAUCAUAAUAAACAAUUAGAUGAAGCUAAAACUAUAUUACACUUUUGUGAGUCUAUUUUUUUUUAUUUUGUCUAUGAUUUUUUUAUUUGCUAUUUAUAUAGUGUAGUUUGUUGCAAUUAAUUAGUUUUAAUUUGAUAGAUAUUUAAUUGUAUUUACAAUUUCAUCAAACAAAAUAAUGUAUAAGUUAAUUAAAAAAAUAUAGAAAAUAAAUGAUGGACAAAUGAAAAUUUUAUUUAGUUUUUUAGUAAAUUGUUAUCAAUUUGGGUACUUUUGAUAUUGACACUCUAGAGGGGUAUCUUUGUAAUUUAACGUUUUUGUUGUUUGGUUCGCCGUAAAAAAUUUACGGUCGGAACUCGAGUUAAUCUAAAAUGACGUAAUUGACUUCAAUACAUCGUGGCCGAAGUCAAUUACGGUGAAGGAAAGGUGAAGAAAAAAUAAUAAAAUAAUACACUAGGUAAAGAUAGUUAUAUUUAAAUAUAUUUAAUUAUGGUACUAAUUACUCUUUUAUCCGGUUGGUAUAUUUAAAAUAUGAUAAGUUAAAAUAUGAUAAGUUUUAAUUUUUUUUUAUUUUGUUUGUACAAUUAAAAUAUGAUAAAAAUUGAUUAAUUGAGUAUUAAUAUUUUUUUACUUUAUAAUUUUAUUAUUGUAUUACUAUAAUUUAUGUAUAAAAAAUAAUUUAGUUAUUUCAAAUUAAAUUUUAAUUAUAAAAAAUAAUUAUAUUAUUUUUAUUUAUUAAAUUAUUUAUUAUUUAUAAUUUUAUAUCAUAUAUUUCGUACUAAACAAACAGCAGAAUUAAUAAAACUUCACUUUAUCACUACAAAACAAACAACAGAAAAAAAUAGUUUUUAUUGAACUCCACUUCAACCUUAAAUUCGCUUCAACCGAAAGUCCAGUUUCAGUGAAACAAACAUGCCCAAAAUUGAAGUGCAUUCGGAAGUCGUGAGAUCAUGUCCUAAUUCUCAUUUACAAGCAUUCCCUAGCAGGAAAAAAUGGUGUCACGCGCAUAGUUCGUGCUUUUCUAGUUUAAUAUGAAGUAUGAAUAUCUAGAAGUUUUUCAUCAAGAUCUUUCUCACAACUACGUGAUGAAGCUGCAGUAGUAAAAGCUUCUAAUCAGAAUUUCUUUUCUAUAAUUCAAAUUUCAUGUCGACUCUCAACUAUAAUCAGAUUCUCAACUAAAAUAGACUCAUAACCGAAUGAGCGAAAGACUCUUUUAGUUCAGAGAUAAAAACGGUCAAAUAUGGUUGGAUUUUUUAAGAAACUAUAUUCCCAUCCUUUUUUUUUUUGCAUAUAAAUGUUAGAUUUUGACAUUCAUAUUCGCAUCCAAUCUAAUUUAAUGUCGAAUUCGAUCAGAAUUUACCUAGUAACAUCUCAAAAAUCAUUUUUUAGAAAUGCUAACGAAUGAUAAAUUAUUUUCACAUCCAUCAUAUUGGGCCCUAACGGGCGAGCCGAGCGGAUUAUGAAUCGACCAUUAUAUCCACCCGGCCCAUGGCACAGCACGGCACGGCACGGCACGACACCAUGCGACAGGAAACACUACUUUUAAUCUCAGAGCACUAAACCAUUAGCCAAACAACUACGACCCUUAAAAGCAGCAUUUACACAUCUUUAAAGCUUUGUCCUCACGCUAAAGUCCAAGACCCAAUUUGUACAAAACUACAAAUAUAUUACACCCCAAGAGAUAUUCUUAUCUAGACCCGAUCUACCACGUCAUCCAUCGACCGAGUCAUUUAAAACAGUUUCUACGUGGGUUUCCCACAUAUUUUAUUACAAUCCAACCACGUGUCCCAUGUUGAUUGGCUAGGACCUGGCACAGCAUCUAAUAUUAAAAAGUCUUUUUUACAAGAAAUUAUUAAUUUUGAAAGUGUAUUACAUAGGAAUCAAAAAAAUUUACAACUUAAUACUAUAGAAAGUAACACUAAUUAAUUAUUUAAAAAGGUUAAACACAUCCCAACUAACCAAACUUUUUAUUAAUUAGUCUGCAAACACCCUUUUAAUUUUUGAAAAGUUUUACAUUUGCCAUCUAAACUUUUACGAUUUUGUAAUUAAUUAUUUCAUUAAUUUAAAGAACUAAUAGACAAAAAGGCUAUUUUAUAUCGUCGGCAUGUGUUGUUUGUUAUAUUUUUAUUUUUUGAGUCGAAUAUAAAUUGCUAUAAUAUAAAUAUAAGUCAUUAAUUCCAAAUUUUAAAAUUUUGGGUUGCAAAUAUAAAAUUUGUAAAAUGAAAAAAAAAAUAGAUAGUUCUGAUAUAUUUAUUGCUGACUAAAAUAAGUAUUUAAAGUGUUAUAAUUUUCAGGACAUUAGCUCAAGUAGUGUAGUACAUUCAUAAACCUCCACAAUCGAAUGUAGAGCAAUAAUACAUGUGCAUUCAAAAGUGGGUAUAAAUUUUAGGCCAUACUUAUCAAAGGUUUAUAUUAUUAAGCUUUUCUUAUCACACUCUUAUUUUUUUAAUACUGAAUAUUAAAAAACAUUGUAUAUACUUUUAGGCUGUAUUUGAAUGUCAGAAUAAAAUAUCUAACAAUAAUUUAAUUAUUUGGUAUAAAAUUUUUUUUAGCUUGAAUGAAAAUUAAUUAUUUUGUUUUUAUUUUUUAAACAAAUCUUAGUAUUUGUGAUUUAGUAGAAUAGUAUACUUUACCUAAAAAUUUAUUUAUUUUAUUUCAAAAAGUAAUCUAAACGAUCAAUAUAGUGUUUAUUUUAAACAUUUCGUAAUAUUUUUCAUUGAGUUAAUUACACUAUUGGUCCACAACCUUUGUAUUUCUUUUUACUUUAAUUUACUUUUUUUUUUUCAAUCAAGUGUUUAACUACUUGAUUUUAUUACGAUUAAGUCCCAUACCAAAAGUUGGGAACCAAGGGUGUAAUUAACUCAUUUUCAAUUUAUCAAAUACUGUAUAAUUUAUACUCUAACUUUGGUGUCGGGUGUGAAACGUACGUACACCGGGCGCAGGGAAUAUUUCUCCACCACGUUUAAAGGGCAAGCAAUUGGCCAAAUUGGUAACGGCGAAACGAGACGACGCUCAAUCCCCAAAAUCCCCAAAUCAACAAAGAAAUCGAAGAUCGUGAUCGAGAGAGAGAGAAAGAGAGAGGAAGAGAGAAGCGCGAAGAAGCUUCGGGAAGAGGCGGCGGAGGGGUCAGCGCCGGUGCCGGUGCCGGUGCCGGUGCCGGAGCUGGGGGAGGACGCGAUCUACGAGGUGCUGCGGCGCGCGGACGCGCGGACGCUGGCGGCGGCGGCGUGCGUGAGCCGGCGGUGGCGGCGCCUCGCCGCCGACGAGCGGCUGUGGGAGGCGGCGUGCGUCCGCCACUGGGAGGCCGCGCGCGACUACGGCGGCGCCCGCCUCCGCCCCGUCGUCCUCGCCCUCGGCGGCUUCCGCCGCCUCCACUCCCUCUACCUCGCCCCCCUCCUCCGCCCCCCCCACCCCUCCCCCCCUCCGAUCGCCGCGUCUUCGUCGUCCCCGUCUCCGAUCGCCGCCUCCUCGCCGUCCCCGUCUCCGAUCGCCGCGUGGCCGAUGGAGCGCGCCGGCGCCGGCGAGGCCGAGGGCGGCGCCGGCGGCGGGGGGGAGGAGGUGGGGGAGGGAUGAGGUGCAGCUGUCGCUGUCGCUGCUCUCGAUAGGGUUCUUCGAGAGGAUGAGCGCGGGGGAGUACAAAGGAGGAGGAGGAGGAGGAGGAGGAGGGGAAGGGGACGGGAGAGGGUAGAGUCACUGCCGCUCCGGAUCGGAACCGGUAUGGUUACCGCCUCCUCUCUCCUCCUCCUCCACCUCCCCUAUCUCACUUUUUCUUUUUUUCUUUUUUUCUUUUUUUGAAGUUAAAUUUUGAUUGGAAAAUGGGUAGGGUCACCGCCCCGUUCACCGCAUCGGGUAUGCUUACCGCCUCCCCCUCUCCCUCUCUUCCUCUUGUCGUAUCUUUCCCUUUUUUUCUAUGUGCUUUUUUUUUUUUGUUUUUUUGUUUUUUUAUGUUUUCACUUAAUUUUGAGGAUAAAUAAGCAUACUUUUGGUUCUCAAACUUUAAAGCGUGUCACGUUUUGAUCCUCAAAUUUUAAUUUACUAUAGUUAUUGUAAUUUAGUACAAUUGAACUGAAAAUUAAAGUUAAAAAUUAUAGUAAAUUAAAGCUUGAAGAUCAAAAUCUCACACACUUAUAGUUUGAGGACCAAAAGUGUAAUCUAGCCUAUUUUUUAUUUGAAAUUUCUCUCUCUCUGUGUGCUUGUGUGUGAUUGUUAUGGGAUUAAUGUGUUUCUUCUUGUAAUAUCUAGUGUUGUAUAAUAUCAUUAAUAUUAUGCAGUGAUGAAUUAUGCUCUCUUUUUUUCUUCUAAUUAAAUACCAUCAAGAAGAUAAAACUAAUUGAAAUUAUAUAUUCAUGUAAAAAUCAGCAUUAACAGGUUGAGCUCUUCACAUUCAUCAGUUAAUGACUUGAAUUUUUGUCACUUAUGGCGUAAUAUUUUCUAAAUUUUUUUUCAUUUUAGCACAAAUGAGAAUGUUAAGAACAUAAAUUAGUUGUUUGUUUUGAAAUUGCAGAAUAUUAAGAUUGCAAUACUUUUUCUAUGUUUACAUAGUUUUGCUGUAUUUGUAAGUGAUGCAAUUAUGGGAUCAUUUUAUAAUCUAAAUUUGGUGUGAAAAAAUGACAUUAAGUAAUAUAAAGGGCCCUAUUGCAUAAAAAGAAAAAUCUAAUGAUGGUUUUUAUGAUGUUGCAAGAAUAAGCUCACAUUUCAAAUUUUAUAAAAUUAAUUUUAUUUUUUUUAACGGACCAAAAUAUCCUGCAUCCUUGCUCGAGUGGGGGAGAUGGAAGAGGAAGGAGAGGGUGUUGUUAUUUUAGUCCAUGUUUAAAAAAUAUAAAUUUAAUUUUAUAAACUUUAAAUUUUUUUUUUUUCAAAAUUAUGAAAUUAUUAAAUUUUUUUUCUGGAAAAGGGCCAGUACAAAAUAUUUGCCCCUGUUGGAAGGGGGAUUUAGGACCAGCCACUGGGGAAAGGUCUGAAACAGCAUUAUUGAGGCAGAAGAGGACAAAGGGAGAGUGAGAGUAUGAAUGAGUUAAAGAGAAGGGCCCACUCCCAAAGGGAGAGUGAGAGUAUGAAUGAGUUAAAGAGAAGGACCCACUCCCAACUCUUUCUCUCUCUUUAUAUGUGUUUGGCCAAUUUGCAUAAAAAAUUUAUAAAUUUUGAGCUUUAGUAAAAUUAGACCGUCUUUUUUUAUUUUACAGAUUCGGUUCGAAUAUUCAAUAAAUUGAUCAAAAUAUUCUUAUUAUUUUUUUCUUUCUUUUCUUUUUUUUUUUUUUAUUCUCUCGUUCGUUUUUUUUUUCUCUGUCCGAAAAAGGCAGCGGAGACAGAGGCGAAGAGGCGAAGGAGGAAACGGCCCGCCUUGCCUCUCUCACCCUCAUGCCCUCGCUCUCACCCGUGCAUCCUUGCCUUUUUUGCCUCUGAUUCCGUCGAGGCCGCGUCGUGACUUUUUUUUUUUUCCUCUCCAACCCUCCUCCACCAUAUCUGAUGACGAUGCCUCUCUCAUCCUUUCCCGCCCUUCUCGCCCUCUCCCUUUCCUUCCUCCUCCGACGCCAACACCUCUCCGCCGACGCCGACGCUGCGGAGGUCGCUAUAGUCUCGGAGUGAGGAUUUCUUAGCGGUGUUGUCGCCAUCGCCGGCGCCGUGGUUAUGGCCGUUGGCGGAGAGGCGUGACAAAAAAUAAUUGUAGAAGAAUGAAGGAGAAAAAUAUAAGAAUAACAGUUGAAACUACACCCAGAAAGUAGCAGUUGAAAAGAGUAAUUUUGAAUAAAAGAUAAGUUUACCAACCUAAUCAAUUUUAAAAUAAAUAAUUUUUUUUCUACAUUAGAGAUAAUUUUACCACCACAUAUGGAGAGUAAUGAAAUUUUACAAAUGAACUUCUUAACUAAAUUCAACUAAAUAAAUUAUUUAUAGUUACANCAUAAUCCGCCCCACCUCGUAACCCGCCUCCCGCCGGCGCCCCGAAUCCGCCCCACCAACUAAUAUUUUUUAUAAAAUUAUAAUAUUAUUAAUAUUUUGUAAAAUAUAAAUUAAUAAUUUUUAAUAAUAUUAUAUAUAUAAUUUAACAAUAUUAAUGGUAAAAAUUAAAAAUAUCAAUCACAAUUCAAAACAAAAUUCAAAUAUUUCAAAUACAUUAGAAAUGAGAGUAAUAACUUAUUUGUAUUUUAAACUUUUUUUUAUAAAUAUAUUAUUUUUUGGGAAUAUUUUUUAAAAAUACAAAUGAUAUUUGGGGCGGAUUCGGGGCGGAUUCGGGGCGGGGCGGAUUCGGGGCGGAUUCGGGGUGGGUCAAAAUUUUUUCCGUUUCCUGCCCUGAAUCCGUCUCGGAUCAUAAAACUUACCCCGUUUCCUGCCCCGAAUCCGUUUAUUUUCUCCCAUUUACCGCUCCCGUCGGGGCGGAUCGGGGCGGGAGCUCCACCAACCCGGAUCCGUUUGCAUCCCUAGUAGCAGUUGAAAAGAGCGAUUUUGAAUAAAAGAUAAGUUUACCAACCUAAUCAAUUUUAAAAUAAGUAAUUUUUUUUCUACGUUAGAGAUAAUUUUACCACCACAUAUGGAGAGUAAUGAAAUUUUACAAAUGAACUUCUUAACUAAAUUCAACUAAAUAAAUUAUUUAUAGUUACAAUGCUUUCUGCUGCAUUCAAAUAAACGAGAUAAAUAUAGCUAUAACUCUUGUAUCUCUGAGGGAGUCGUUUGGUUAGAUGUAAUUGAAAAUACAAUGUACUUUGAGAUUUUAUAGUUGGAAAUAUUAUAGUUACAAUUAUAUAUAUAUAUUGUUUGUUGGAUGUGAUAGAAAGUGCAGCAACCAUAAAUAUUUUGUUUGAUUAUGUGCGGUUGAUAAACGCAUUUACAAGAUUUUAUAAUUUUUAUAUGAAUAGUGAGAUUACUCUCUACAUAAAAAAAUAUAUAUAUUUUUCUAUUAGGAAGAUUUUUAAGGAGGUAAACUUAUCAUUGCUUAAUGUUAUUCUUUCCAACUACUGCAGUAAAAAUUACGGUCAAUUUAGGUGUAGUUUCAACUGUUACAUUUGAGCCUCUUUGAGUAGUUCCAACUGCAAUAAUUAAAUUCAAAUAUAUGAAACCAAACAGCGUAUACUCGCUAAAAAGAAAAAUGACGAACAAUUAUUUGUUUUUUAAGUUUUAUUAAUGACGAUAAAUCGUUUACCGUAUUAUAUUUAUUGGACAAAAUAUGUUUAUUUAGCCAAAUAAAUUUUUAACAAAAUUGUUUUUCCAAAUAUAACUUUUUUAAAAAUUAUUAUGAAAAAAAAUCUAUUUAUUCAAUAUGAUACUUGUGUAAAUAGCAAUCAUUUAUUAAUAACUAGCGAUAAUAUAUAAUAUAUUCGUCAAAACUUUAAAAAUAUCUUUAAUAUAUCCUUGGUGGUCCUAAAUGCCCUUAUCGAUUUUUAAAUUUUUUUCAAAUAUAACCCUAAUUCUAAAAUUUACUAGUGAAAUUUGGGAUUUAGAAAGGUAUUUUGGGAAUAUAUAAAGUGAAAUUAAAAAUUUUUAAUCUUGAUGAGGAAUGUAUAAAAGUCUACUGAGAAAUGCUUGGAGUACCCCAUUUUUAAGUACCCUAUUUUAUUGUUGUUGAGUUGGCAUACAUUAGGGUUAGGGCUUAGGGUUUAGAGUACAAUGAUUGCAAUUAACAUUUAAUAAUAAUAUUUGGAAUUUGGGUUGAGCUCUUAUACUUUUAAAAGUAUAGGAGUAUUUGUGCCUGUAACUUUUUAGCUUUCAGAUUUUCUUAAUAUUCGUAUAGCACUACAAACGAUAUAUUUUGGUGUGAGUGGAGUGAUGGAACUCAAGUUCUAUCACUUUCGUUAUUUAUUUUGGUAUAAAUCAAAAAUAUAAUGUAAUUCAAGUUACGUUAGAUCUCUACUUCACCUAUUUUCGACUUCCUCCUCUAAAGUGCCGAACUCGACUUCGCCACACUCAACCUCUUCUAAAAAAUUUAUUAAAUAGUAAAUCUAAACUCUACUUUCUUUAUAAUGAGUUAAAAUUAUCUUAUUUAUAAUAAAUUAGGAUUACCUUUAAAUAAUAAUAAAAAAUUUAAUUAUAUAAUAAGUUAAAUUUUUUAGCGAUAAAUUUAUCACCACAUUUAGGAGAUAGCGGGAUCCACUUACUUACAUCAAAAUAAAUAACAAAACUUAAAAAAUUAAUUUUACAAGUACUCAGUUACAUCAAAACGAAUAAAAAAAUAAUUAAAUUUAACUUUCAGACUGUACGAGUUACGUCAAAAUAAAUAAUAAAAAAAAAAUCAUAUUUUAAGAAAAUUUAAAUAUCACUAUACUUGACUUACGUACGAUCUAUAGAUUCUUCAAUCAGCCCCUUGAGUCUUCUUUGUUAGUGCUACAUGAAUCUUAAAACGAUUCAUCAGUUAAAAAGAUACAAACUUAUUUAAGUUUCUGUGCAUUCUCAGAGCAUACUUUUUAGGCGGUGUUUGGUUCCUCGUAAAACCGGCUUAAAAAAAAAAAAAAAAAUCUCAAUGGAAAAGUACAAUUCCAUGGUGAACCUUUUCUCUCGUGAGAGUAUAGUAGUCGGACUCUCUCUCUCUCUCUCUCUCUCUCUAUAUAUAUAUAUAUAUAAAUUUAUUUUAUAAAUAUAUAUUUAUUUAUUAUAUAUAGUAUUUUAUUUUUAUAUAGAAAUAUUAUUAUAUAAUAUUUUAUUCAUUAUUUAUUAAUAUUUCUAAAUAUAUAACUUUUAUAUAUUAUUAAUAUAUGUUUAUUAUAAUUUUAAAUAUAUUUAAUAUAUAUAUAAAUUAUAAUAAUAAUAUAUAUAGUAUGUUAAUUAUAUAUUAUAUAAUAAAAAAUAUAUUAAAUAGUUUUUUUAUUUAUUUUUCUUUUCCAAUCAAUCAAACUAACUGUAAUGGAAAAUUAAUUUUCUUUUUCUAUAAGUCAAAUACUAAACACGUAAAACGUUUUUUCCAUCGAAAUUUUUUUUCCACCGAAAUUAUUAUUUUCAGUUUUACGAGGAACCAAACACGCCCUUAGCAACAUUCAUUGCUGAUAUGAAAAAUAUUUUUUUGCUUGUUUGGUUUGACGUAAAAAUAUUUAUUUUUAUAAAUUUGGAGAAAAAUUAAAGUUUUCGUUUUUGCUUUUUUUUCCAGCAAAACAUAAAAAUUCAAGUUGCGUAAAAUUUUUUCAUUGAUUUUUUGACCGAAUCAAAUAAAUGUGAACUUUUUUUUUCCUUUCAACCAAAUAAAUAUUUAUAAAAGAUUAUUUGUUUUACAAACCGAACACUAUAAAAGCUUCGUUUGGGAUUGCAACGAGAUUUCCUUACGUGCGAUGAGAAACGACGAUGAGAAAAUCUCUUAUUUGUUUCCGUACGUAAUUGUUACGUUCUGCAUAUUACAGUUAAUCGGUUACGCGGUCCCACCGGAGAACACAGAAGUAUAUCUCUAUAUAUUUUUUUUCAAUUUCAUUCUAUCUAAUAGAAUUAGAUAAAUCUCAAUAAACACGGAACUAAGCUAAAGUGUAAGAAAAAAACUUUUCACCGAAAUUUUUUGUACAUAAUUAUUUUUUACGAUUUUACGCUGUACCAAAACGGAUCUUAGCCAUGCGCAAAAUGUAUGAAUACACAUGGUGCAGUGAGAAUAGUUCAUAUUUUUGUUCUCUUGUCCUUUUUCUCCUUUCUCAUGUGUUAUAGCCGUAUAGGUCAAGGCAUGAGGUCCAUAGCCUUUGGAGUUAUUAUUGUGUUGUGGUGUUUAUGAGGACAAAGGGAGAGCCAAAGAGAGAGAGGGGUGUGUGUUUUGGAAUUUGGUAUGUUUUGGCCCUUUUGGGGAAACCCCCUUAUAUUAUUUUAUUUAUUUAUUACAUGUUUGAUGUAGUAAAUGCUCUUUGAAUAAUAAGUGGGCUAUAUAAGUGUUUUUUUGUUUGGAUGUGCCCACAUGUGGCUUUUCUUUGUGGUGGCUCUUUGUGGAUCUGAAAAGAUGCCCUAUCAGUAGUGUUGAUGGAGACAAUUUUUAGGCUGUUGUACCAAUGUUUUUUUUUUUUUUUUUUUUAGUAUAAACUUCAAAUACCGUGUCUUUUAGGUGGCGUUUGGUUUAAAAAUAAAAGGAGAAUAAGUUCUUGUUCCCCCUUUGUUUCCAAAUAUCACGUUUUGUUUUCGGAAACAGCAGUUUCCAGAUUCCUAGAAUAAGUUGGUAUAAGGCUGAACUGUUGUUCCACCUUUUUCUGGAACAAACUUGUUCCCGGAUGAGAAGAAGGUUAAUUAAAGUCUAAAUUUAAUUUUAACGACAGUAAAUCUUUAAUUAAUCUAAUUAACAUAUUUAAAGUAUUAUUUAUUUAAAAUAAUUAAUUAAUUUAUUAUUUAUAAUUAAUUAUUAUUAACUAUAUAAUAAUUAUUAUUCUUAAUAAUUAGAUAAUAGAUAUUAUUAAUAAUUUAUUAUUUAUAAUUAAUUAUUAAUAAUUUGAUAAUUAAUAUUAUUAAUUUAUUAUUUAUAAUUACUUAUUAAUACUUUUUUAUAAUUAUUAUUAUUUAUUAAUAAUUAGAUAAUCGAUAUUAUUAUUAAUUUAUUAUUUAUAAUUAUUUAUUAAUAAUUAUUAUUUAAUAAUAAUCUAUUAAUAAUUAUUAUUAAUUAGAUAAUCGAUAUUAUUAUUUAUAAUUAAUUAUUAAUAAUUUAUUUAUUAUUUAUUUUUAAGUAAUAUUUUGAUGUUAAUUAAUGAGAUAAUAUAAUUUUAAUUUCAAAUUAUAACUCUUAUUACUCUUGUUCCAAUCUAACCAUCCAAAUACUAUUUACCUUAUUUCUAGAGACAACUCAAAUUUCAUUCAAAUGCAAAAUUGGUUUAGUUUCUUCUUAUACCUGAACUUAUACCCUAUCCCUGGAACAAGCAGUUUUUAUUUAUACCCAAACCAAACGCAACCUUAGCAUCUUUAGUUAACUGCCUGUUAAAUUAUAUACAAAAAAUACUUCAGAUACCCAAGUUAUAAUCUGUUGAAUAUUCACUUUAGUACAUUAUGAUUUACCAAAGUUUUACUUUAAUAUCAUAUGAUUUUAAUUUUGUCACUGAUUUAACAGAAAAAUUAAGAUUGCAAUACUACAGAUAAAGUGAUACGUUUUAAAUUAUUGGGUACAAAAGUGAGAAAGUGCAAAAUUACAGAAUAGUAUUUGAAGUUUUUUCUAAUUUUUAAAAUAAAAAAAUGGUUUUUGGGUAAAUUGCAUUUUUGGAUCUUGAGUUAUGAGUCUUUGGGUAACUUGCCUAUGAAACUUAGAUAGCUAGAAUCCCACUUAGUAAUAUACCCAUUUUUAAUUUUUUUAAUUAUUUUCUUCUUGUUGUUAUCUCCACUCUUUUUAGUGUGAACUAGUCAAAUUUGAAUUAUAUUUUUCCUCAAAAUGUAAAUCAUCAAGAUCUAUUUGACUUUUGUUUUCAAGAAACGCCACCUCUAUAUUCAAAAAUGUGGUUUAAACAUUAUACAUCAUUCAUAAUUCUCCAUUUCAUCGCGCUAGUUUUAUCACAUCCUUUUCAUGCUUUUAGUUAACUAUAGGUAAAAUACUUAACCUUAGUUAGUUAAUGAGAUGAAUUGAUCUCCUUACCCUUUUUUAAUUAAUAAUUAAGAUUUUUGAAGGAAUAUAUUUAUGAUGGGAAAAAUGUUAUUUCACUUAUAAAAUAAACAGUGCUUUAAUAGUAACAAACCAGAAUGACAUAUUUGAAAAUAUUAGAAUUUUUAUAUAGACAACAUAUGAAAACUGAACUUUGUAGAAAUAUAAAUGUAAUUUACUAUAUUUGCAGGAAUCUAUAUAAAUUUUUUUUUUUUUUUUUUUUUUGUUACAAAACAAGGACUCAACAUGGCCCUUGGGAUAAUGCGGUACAAAAUUUAUACUCUUUUUUAGGUGCACGAAUAAUAUUGCUUUUAAAAAGUAAGGAUGUGAAAAGACUAGUGUGAUAAAAUCGGCCUAUGAAUGGGCAGAGUGUCACAUUGACAUUCACUUUUGGUAUUAUUAGUUAUCUUUGGUUAGAAGUUUUAAAUUAAAACCAAAUCAUCGCAACAAUAUGUCAAAGGUAAAACAAAAAAGUAAAUUGGUCCCCUUCUUUCUUUAGCAUGAAAUUUUGGGCUAGUGAUUAACGCCAACGAUCCGCAAACCACAAGUGGUAUCAAAGCUUUAAUUUUCUUUUAGUUCUAGUUUUUGUUUUUAGAAUAGUAGUUAGCCCAAAAAGUGUUGGUUGGGCUUUCAUGGUUUCAUAUCCUAUAUACCAAUGUUAGUGUAGUUGAUUAAGUUGACCAAAGCCUAGUUCUCUUGGGUCAACAAAGUUGGGCCACUUGGGAUAGCCCAAGCCCAUUCACACCUCUAAUUUUAUUUUAGGGAUAACUGCCUAUAUACCUCUCAAAACUUCGGAAACAUCUAAUUUUUUUUAUACUUUCUUUUUUGGUUUCAAAUAUACCUCUCGUUGUUUCUCUGUUAUUCAAAAAUACUCCUGCAGUUAUCAUUCGUUAAGUUAUCUCGAAUUAAACGUGAGUUAUAUGUCUACCAGAAUUUUAAAAAAAAUUAAAAUACCUAUUUUGCCCUAAAAUUAAAGACAAAUAAGAAAAGUUGAUAUCGGUAGCAGAGUAUAUUUGAAAAGAUAAAAAAUUAAAAUAUUUAUUUUGCCCCUAACUUAAGAGCAAACAAGAAAAGUUGGUGAUGGUAGAACCGUAGAAAGAUAUAUUUGAAAUGGCAAAAUAGUAACUUUACAGAGGUAAUGGUUGUUAGUAACAGUUUACUAAUAAAAUUUAACUCUAGAGUUAUAUAUUUGAAAUAACUAGAACGUUAAAAAUAUAUUUUUAAUAUUAGUCUUUUAAGAGGAAUAAAUUAGAAAGUCAAAAAUAUUUUAGGGGUAUAUAUAUGCAAUUGCCUCUUUAUUUUAUUGAAAGUUGAAGCCAUAUUGUUUAGGGUUAUAAAUUGCCCCUAUGAGGUUUCACGCUUUUUUGACACUAUUUAUAUGCACUAUUUUGAGGGAACGGUAGCAUAUUAUCAGUUUCGUUUAUUUUUUUAUAUUAUUUAUCUAACGAUCAGAAGGUUGCCAAUUUAUACAUUUUUGAGAGUGAUAGAAUGCUACUUGCUUCUUUCAUUUUUAUUUUUAUUUUUUUCGAAAUGGACUUAGCUGAAUAUGUGAAACAUAUAAAGCUUCGAACUUGGUACCAAUCAUCAGGCCAUUUUGCCACUUGUGCUAGGAAAGGUCAGUACCAAUUUAUACUUUUAAUAAUUGAAUAUAUAGGGUAUUUUUCUAUUUAACAGUGUAAAAGAGCUCAAAUCAAUUAAUGGUGUAAAGUAAUUUUGUUCGAUGAGAGCGGUAGAGGAGGAGAGAGAGGAAAUGAAAGGAGGGAAAAAGGAAGCAAUGGCGAGAAAGAGGGAGACGAAACGGGAGGAGAAAAAUAAACGAGAGAAAAAGGAGAUUUAAUCUAAAAAUUCAGACUUAAUCUAAAAAAUCGAAAAAAAAUGGUCUAUGUUUGCAAAAACAUAAAACUGGCGGAAUUUUUAUACAAAUUGGUCUAAAUUUUUUUAAAAAUUUAUAAUUUGGUUGAUGCAAACUGAUACAAAAAUUACUAACAUGGUGAUAUUGAGCAUUUUAAUUGGAUGGUUAUUAUAAUUCAUAAGAAAAAAGGUUUAAUUCCCAAGUAGGAUGGUAAUUAUAAUAUAACCAAAGAGAACUAACCAAUAAGAAACUAUCAUGUUGGCAUAUUUGAAAAUUUUAAAAUUUGUAUAUAGCAAAACAUUUUGAAAUCCCUGAAAGAGCAUGAGGCCUAGUUUGAAAUUUCAAAUUCAAGUCAAAUAUAAAAAUAAAAAUAAAAAUUCAUAUUUCAUAAAAUGGAGAGUCAAUAGAAAGAUUGAACUGAUAUCAUUCAUUCUAAUUUUACCUCUCAUCAGAGCUCUUUUGAUAGUCAUAGAAAAUUAUUUAGUGACUGAAAAUGAAAUAUUAAAGUUUAAAAUUACAUACAGUCAAUAUGAGGUAGCUACCUAUUUUCUACCAUCUUUUAUUAUCUUCUCGCACACCAGGCAGGGUUAAUUUCAUACAGGUUCCUACAAAUAUAGUGAAUGAAAAAUAUAUCCUUACAAAGUUCAACUUUCAUAUGUUCUCACUACAAAAGUUCUGAUGUUUUCAAAUAUGUCUUUUUGAUUUGUUACUGUUAGAGAACUGUUUAUAUUUUCAAUUUUGUCAUCACAAGUAUAUCCCUCCAAAAUCCAUAACAGUAUAAUAUAAAAAAGUAAAAAUAUGAAAAACUAACCAGAGUUACGCAGUUAACCUAUGGUUAACUAAAUUUAUCUAACGGAUUCUAACAGUAAGAAUAUAUUUGAAAACAUCAGAACUUUUGUAGGAACACCAUAUAAAAAUUAAACCUUGUAGGAAUAUAUUUGUCAUUCGCUAUGUUUGCAGGAAUCUGUAUGAAAUUCACCCAUAUAUAAAAGGGAAGAUACAGACAACGAGAUCAAUCUCAAUUGAUCAAACCCAAUCUAUUCUGUCUAUAACAAAUGACAAAAUUAUCAUCUUAUGUAGAGAAUUUGUGUUCACAAAAUUACAAAAAAUCAACUCUCUAUCUUCUAAGAGGAUUUGAGUCCUAUCUUGGUUCCACACUUCUUGGCUUCUACAAUAUUAAUGCCAAUUCCAAUUCCUCAAAUAAAACAAAUAAAAAAAUAGAAAACUAAUCCCAUUCUCUGACACACCCCUCCAAAAAAAAAAUAAAAAUGAUAGGUUUGCAUGUCAAUCUCCUAGCAUUGUAUUAAUGCUACCCAAUAGGCCAACAUUGACAUAUUUAAUUAGAACAACAUUCAACUUACAAUCUAUUGUUAAAUAUGAAGUUAAAUCUAAGAUGCGGAUUCUUCUAGGUCACACUAGGUUGAUUUGACAAUUAAUAUUAUUAAAUAUAAUUUAAAUUAUUUAAGUUUUAUAUAAAUUAAACUUUAUGAUAUCAUAAUUAUUUUUAUAUAAUAAUCAGAGUAUUAUGAAUUAUGCUGGUGGUACACUUAAAACUAGGUUGUAGAUUUUAUAUCCCUAUCUAUUGGAUGAAUAAGGUGUAAAAUUUAUAAUAAAAAAUAGGCAUAUAAGUAGCAUUUAUCAUUAUAAAUUAAAAUUAAUUUCAUACAUAUCCUUCCUCCAAUCUUUAAUUACAUAGAUAUUCCUCUCAAAAUAUAAAUUUAAAAAGAAUAAUUAUCUAUAUACCCCUCAAAAUUUUACAAAUAUCUAAUUUGCCUUAUUUUCUUUUGUGUUUUCUUUUUUUUUUUUUGAGAGAUAGGUAGUACGCUACCUGCUUCGUUUAUUUCAUUUAGAAAUAAAUUUAGCUAAAAAUGUGAAUCAACUAGGAUUCGAACUUAGGUCUCGGAUACCAACCAUCAAGCCCUUUGCCACUUGCUCUAGGGACGGUUGGUUUUUCUUUUGUGUUUUCAAUAUACCAUUCAUAUGUUUCUUUGUUAUUCAAAAAUACCCCCGCAGUUACCACCCGCUAAGUUAUCUCAAAUUAAACGUGAGUUAAAUAUCUAUCAGAGUUAAAAAAAAUAAAAUAUCUCUUUUGUCUCUAACUCAAGGGCAAGUAAAAAUGUUAGUGAUGAUAGAACAUAUAUUUGAAAUGACCAAAAAUUAAAAUACUUCUUUUGCUCCUAACUUAAGGACAAAUAACAAAAGUUGGUAAUAGUAGAAGGUAUAUUUGAAAGGAGUAAAAUAGUAAUUUUAAAAAGAUAAAAACUAUUGCCAACAGUUCACUAACACAGUUUAAUUCUAGAAAUAUAUUUGAAAUAAUUUGAACAUAAAAAAGGUAUUUCUUAUAAGAUUAAUUCAUACAGGUCCCUGCAAAAUAGUAAAUUGUAAAUAUAUUCCUACAAAGUUCAACUUUUAUAUAUUGUUCCUGUAAAAGUUCUGAUGUUUUCAAAUAUGUCCCUCUAGUUAGUUACCAUAUCACUCACAGAUUAUUUAAUAGGAAAAUGUACGAAAAAUUAUCAUAAUAUCCAAACUGGUAAUAAUUUAUUAAAAAACAACAUAACAUUUUUUUUGUUUUGUCCAUCAUCUAUUAUCUAUAUCAUUUUAAUUAACAUAAAUACUAUUUUGUUUUAAAAUAUUAUAAAUACAAUUCAAUUUAUACUAAUCUAAUUGCAACAAACUACACUAUAUAAAUAGUAAAUAAAAAAUCAUAUUAAUUUAGAUAAAGAGAAAAAAAGAUUAACAAAAAAUAUAUAUAAUAUAUUUUUAGUUUCAGCUAAUUUUUUAUUAUGAUUAACAUGAGAACCAUAAGAUAUUGAUAAAAAAAACUUGAGUACGCAAAAAAUACAUUUUAUAAAUUGAAUUAAAGUUAGUUUUUGCUAAAAAAUAAAUUUAUUAGCCUUAUAUAAUACGACACAAUUAUUAUAAUUAGAAAUAGCUAAAAGUAAAUUAGUCUAAAACUCUAAUCAUUGUAAUGGAGGGCAUUUUUGAUAUAAUUCAUUAAUUUAUAAGGGUAAAAAUGAUGUGAACAAUUUUAAAUGAGUAUCCACAUGAUUUAUAACUUUUGAGGGACACGUUUGGAAUUACACUAUAAAUUAUAUAAAAUUUUCAAGCUAUUAAAAUAUUAAGUAAAUGAUGUCAAAAUUUUUGCUUUUGAAAUUAUUCAGAUAAUCUAAAUUACAUUUAACAACGCACAUUAUUCUUUGAAACACAAUACAAAUUAAGACUCCCCUAUUAUAGGCCAUUUUUAAAUUAAUUGCUCAACUUUUAUUUUGUUUCGGUAAAAACGUUCAGAACUUAUCUGAAUUACAAACUAUUUUAAUUUAAUUAUUCAAUCUUUUAAAAUUUAAUUUUACUGACCAAACUUUUGAUUUGUUAGAUUUGAGUUAGUCAACGUCGCUUCGACUUCAAUAUGUAAAUUAAUUAUGUUUUAAUAAAUUUAUAAUUGUGAGAAUUAUAUGAAAUAUAUUCACAAAAGCUGUAAAGAUAAGCUACGCAUUCAAAUUUUGAAAUUACAUAUAUAACAAAUAACUUACUUCUUUUAACUUUUGAUUCAAAAAAAUUAAGUGAAUUUUAAUAAAUUAAAUUAAAAUUUAAAUUAAUAUUAUUAUCUAAUCUAUUAAAUUUAACAAAAUUCUAAUUAUUUUAUAGGCAAUAAAUUAAAAAUAAUUAAUAAUAAUAAAUAGUUAACAGAGUCAUGAGCUGAGAAAACAAAUCAGCCUAAGUCAGAAAUUUAGAAUAUGUGAAUGAAAGAAUAAGAAAAUUGAGAAGCCUAUUUGAAAAAUGGGCUCUAGUUAAUGAGACUAAUUCAUACUUUUCUUCUUUUUUUUUUUUUUUUUUUACUUACAUAAAUUUAUUAAAUAGAAUAAACAGAAAAUGACAUGAACAUAAUUUUUUUUAGGAUAAACUUCAGAUACCACUCCUGUGGUUUCGCACUUUCUCAUUUUAGUACCCUGUAAUUUAAAAUGUAUCAAGUUAGUGUCAUGUGGUUCCAUUUUUAUGUUUUCGUCAGUUCUUCGUUAAUAUUUCGUUAAAUUAUAUAAAAAAAGCUUCAGAUACUCUACCUAGGUUUAUCAAAUAUUCACUUUAGUAUUCUUUAAUUUUAACUUUGUCACUGAUUUAACGAAAAAAUUUAGUAGAAUCGAUAAUAAAAAUAUAAAAAUAAAAUCACAGGAUACUAAAUUGAUAUACUUUAAACCACAGAGUAUUAAAGUGAAAAAGUGUGAAACCAUAUAGGUGGUAUUUGAAGUUUAUUAUUAUUUUUUUUUUAUAUAUAGUUUACUCAUAUAUGAUUACUCACCUACCAGUUAGUGCACUUAAGGUUUUUUUUUUUUUUUUUUAAAGAAAAUUUGUGAUAUUAUCGAAAGUUGCAGCUAAGUAGGCUAGAGCUAGGUGGUUGAAAAAAAUUGAAUUUAAAAAAAAAAAAUGUGCGGUGAAUGUGAUGGCUUGGUGCACCUGGUUCAUUACGUGGUGCGCCCGGUUCACUUAACAGUUUCUUCUUGUAACGCUGAGGCAUAUUAUAUGAUCACCAUAAUGAUCAUCAAUCUACCUUUUUUUUUCAUUAGGUCAUUAAUCUAAUUAUUGAAGCCUUUUGCUGAUUGAUAUAAUUUUUUGGUCAAAGUAAGAUGGUAAGUUUGCUUGUAAAAGAUGUCACGCCACAUAAAUGCACAAAAGAAUAUAUAAAUAAUUAUUUAUUGUAUUGAUUAAUUUUAUUUACUUUUUUAUAUUUUUAGCGUCUUAUUUUAUUUUUUCAUUUCUUCUUUUAUGUUAAAUAUAAAAAUAUUUAAAAUCGCUAUCUUUUAAUUUAAAUUUUUAGAGUACAAUAAUUAUUUUACGUAGUAUUAGAGUAGAAAAUUUUGAGUUUGAGUUACGGCAAACUCCUUAAUGCUUCCGACCAAGAAAACGAAUUAUUCAAAAAACAUAAAAUUUUGUUAACAAAGAAUAAAAAAAUAAACUUUUAAAACAAUUUUACUAAGAGAGAGAAUCAAAAUUCUUAUUUAUUACCAGCAAUGUUAUUUUUGCUACUACACAGUAUAUAUGGAAGAAUCUAUGUUAUGCUAUACUUUAUUAACUUGUUACUUCUCACCAUUAUUCGCAAUCAUUGUCGAUCACCAUUGUUGCUGCUAUAUUGUUACUUGAUGCUCUCCUCAGUAGUAUCGUUGUUAUCGCCGCUGCAAACGUUACUGCUAGUGGUAUCACUAGUACCAGAUACUACUAUACUGCGUAACUCGUCGGCGAAAUUUUGAAUGUUCCGAUCGGACGACCCGCCCUCCGCGACGGCAGCUGCCGCCGCCUCCUUCCACUUGGCGGCCCGCGCCCUCAUCCCCUCCGCCUCCGGCCGCCGCACCCCGACUCCGUAAACGUCCACCAGAAACUUGGCGUUCGUGACCUGAUCCCCCCACUGCGGGAACGCGAUCACCGGCAGCCCUGCCGACAGUGCCUCCAGCGUCGAGUUCCACCCGCAGUGCGUCAGGAAGCACCCGACGGCCGGGUGGCUCAGCACGCGGUCCUGCGGACUCCACCCGACCACGAACCCUCGACGUCCCACAUCCCCCUCGGUUGUUGUCAAACCUUCCAGAAAGUCCUCCGGCAGCAAGCCGCGGCUCUCCUGCCGGACGACCCACAGAAACGGCCGGCCGGAGUCCCGCAAUCCCCAGGCCAUCUCUGCCAUCUCGUCGGCCGUCAGCACGACGACGCUGCCCACCGAGACGUACGCGACAGACUGCCUUUCCUGCGCGUCGAGCCACGACAUGCAGUCGUCGGCGGGCGUUAAGAGGUCCCCGCGGAAGGGGUCGGUGAGCGGGCCGACGGGGGUGAGGGGGCGGAGGGAGGAGAAGGCUGCGAUAGCGUCGUGCUCGAGCUCGUUGAAGGAGUUGGCGAGCAGCCAGCGGGCCUUCCCGAGGUUGCCGAAGCUGGCGAGGAUGGUGUCGGCGAGGAGUUUGUAGGGGUUGGAAGGGUGGAGGAAGGAGGGGACGUCGGCGGCGGAGAGCGGCGGGAGGCCGGGGAGGGAGACGGGGGGGUCGGAGUCGGAGAGAGGGAAGGCUGCCAGGCGGUGGUGGUAGUGGUAGUAGGCCGAGAAGACCGCGCACGACUGCACCCAGAGGACGGCCGCAGGGAUGCCGAGACCUUCCGCGACGUCGAGCGCCCACGGCAGGAACGGGCUGCCGACGACGCAGGUGACGGGGACGGUCUGGCGGCGGAGGAGCGCGGCCAGGGAGGGAGGGCCGGCGGACGCGAGGUGGCGCAUGAGGUCGUCGAGUGCUGCCAGCGGGCCGGACGGCUGGUCGGAGAGGAAGUCGAAGCGGAAGUUCGGAAGGGGAGAAACAUCGGAGGAGGAGGAGAGGAGGCGGGCGCCGAUGUCGGAGGUGGAGGUGAAGGUGACGAGCAGGCCCUUCGCCGCCAGGCGCCGCGCCAGGCGGAGCACCGGGUUCACGUGGCCCUGCCCCGGGAAUGCGAUCAGAAGCACAUGCGGCGAAGUCGCCGCAGCAGCAGACGACGACGACGACGACGACGACAAAGAGUCUUCUCCCAUAUUAUAUAUGCUCGUUAAAAUUAGAGUAGAGUGCAGCGAAAAUUUACAAACUAAAUACGUAGUAGGUCUGUGGGCGUGGUAGAGACGGGGGCAAUAUAAAUGAGAGGGGCGAUGUAGUAGGUGUGUGGGUGUGGUAGAGAUGCGGGCAAUAUAAAUGAGAGGGACGCUGGGGAAAGUGCGUUCGGGCUGAGGGAAAUGGAUAGGAUUGUUAAUGACCAAGCAGUUUUUUUUUUUUAAUUUUUUCCUUUUGUCUUCUGUGAAAGGCAAUGAUGUAUGCAGUGUUUUAUUUGCAAUAACUUUUAUAUAUAUGUAUAUAUAUAUAUUAUUUUUUUUUUUGUUAUAUAGUAUAUUAUAUAGAGCUAGCUGACUAUAUAUCUAUAUCCGAGCUCCGGUAUACGAUUAUAGUAUUUGGUUUUCGAUCUGGUGGAGGCGUUCAGAAUCAACGAUCCACACGUUAAAAACUGGGAGUGCGGGUAGGGGUAUUUGAAAGUUCCAGAAAUAAAAUUUAGGUAGUAGUUUUUCAGCAUAGUUUUACUUUUGAGAGUCGAAACUAUUUCAAAAUUAUGCGAGUGAAUGGGUGGUGGUAGGGUGAUGAGUUUGGAGGGUUUACGGGGUAGAAGAUAUCUAAUUUCUUCGAACUUUGGGAUAGAAAGAUGUAUUUUAAACGGUUGGUGAGUGAGGAUGUCAAGGUGUGACAUUCGUGGACGUUGGAGAUUUAAAGUGCGGUGAGGUAGUGCAGAGAGUGUAGGGAAGAUUACUUUAAUUUCACCGGCCAUUUGAUAUAAGUUGAUUUACUACAUAAACGAGUAUCGAAAAAAACUAAAAAUUUUUAUUCCUAGAAAUUCAUAUACCCUAGAUCAUAUUUAACGGUGUGGGAUCGUUGAUGUUGACGCGUAAGAUCGGAAAACGAAACGACUAUUGAGUACCGGAGCUCGGUACUAUAGAUAGUAUAGGUAACCGAAUUAUAUUAUAGUAUAUAUAUAUAUAUCAUAGUAUAUGAUUUAUAUAGUAUUAUAUAUAGUAUAUAAUAUAUAUAUAUAAUAGGUAUAUAUUAUAUCAAUAUAGUCCGCUAUGGUGCGUUGUAAAAGCCCCAGCACUUGUGCUUGUAAGUUUCUUUACCGUUAAGAUCUACUUCUCGGAAUCAUUUUCAACCAUUAAAUUAAGAUUGAUACUAUUCAGCACACCCACUCUACUCAACCCUGGACGGGGGGCCCACAUCUCCUCACCGCAUAUGCUCUUAAAUCCAAUUGGAUAAAAAUCUACAACGACCAAUAACUUGGUACUUUAAAGUAUGGAGCUGCAUUUAGUAUACAUAUAUAGGUGCGGCUCUAUACUCUUGAAUGAGUAUAGAGCCUCUUGUACUAUAGUUUUUUUACCUUUUAUUUUUCUUUACUCCCUUUUUUUUUAAUUUUUUCCCAAUUUUUUACGUUUUAUAUUAUACUAUCAACCAAACUCACCAACUCAACCCUUAGGUCUCACUAUAUACUUAACCGAAUCACUCUCAUUCUAAUCUGCACAUUUUUUCAUCCUAACUUCCUAAAUUAUAUUAUUACAAUAUUAUCUCUAAUACUCAUAUAUUAUAUUAUCCCCAUCCUAAUAUAUUAUAUACAUAUAUAUAAUAUAUGUUAAUAGUAUUUAUAUAAUAUAUUAUUAUUAUAUAUAUAUGUAGUGUGGUGUGUGUUGUGAGUAUGUUGUGUGAGUAGGGUUAGGGUUGUGUUAUAUGGAAUUUUAUUAUUGUGUGUGUUUUGUUGUAAGGUGGGUCAUGCUGUCUUGUUCUGUCUGAGUAGGUUUGCUGAGGAGGUGCGUUUAAGUGUUGAUUCUUUUGUGGUUAUCUUAGAGUAUGCUUGUUGUGUGUGUGUGUUGUCUAGUGUGUUGAACGUGUGGACUGUGACUAACGGGUACCGCCAUGCUUCAGCCAGGGUGUGGGAGUACAUCUCGAGGUCCGCGAGUGAUCUCGUCGAGUUCAUGUUAUGUUGUGAGGCCCUCGCGGGGGCGGGUAGAGGUAGUUUUUUUAGGUGAUGGUGGUCUUGAGGACGGGGUGGUGUGAGGGGGUGGUGGGUGUUAGGUGAUAUUGUGGGGGGGUUAGUAUAUAUAUAUAUAUAAAAUCAAAAACACCACAUUAAAGAACUAUAUACAAUAAUCAAAAACACCACAUUAAAGAACUAAUAUAGUUUUCUUUUUAAAAAAUUUGGGAAAUUUCAAAUACCAUCCGUAAUUUUACAUUUACUCACUUUAGUAUCUUAUAAUUUACAGUAUAUCAAUUUAAUAUUCUGUGGUUUUAUUUUUCUCUUUUUAUUAUCAAUUUCACUAUUUUUUUUGUUAAAUGAGUGACAAAGUUAAAACUAAAAGGUACUAAAGUGAAUAUUCGAUAAAUUUAAGUGGAAUAUCUGAAGUUUUUUAUAUAUAAUUUGAUAAAAUAUUAACAAAUGAGCUGACGAAAAAAAAAAAAAUGAAACCACGGGACACUAACUUGAUACAUUUUAAACUAAAGGAUACUAAAAUAAGAAACUGCGAAACCAAAAGAGUGGAAUUUGAUGUUUACCCUAUGGAUGCGUUUGGUUCGCAUUAUAAAAGAUUACUAGGAAUGAAAAGAUGUCCGAGAAUUUUAUUCCUAUUCAUUCUAUUACUAAGAAUGUGAAAUUCCUGUAUUUGGUUCGCACGGUCAUAUUAUUUAGCCAUAUUAUUUAUGGUUACAAAAAAUAUACUAUUUAUUUAUUUAUUUAAUUAAUUAAUUUUAGAUAAUGCUAUCAAAAAUUUCAGCAUCUUUUUUUAAAAAAAUGAGAGAGAGUAUAGGUUAGAGAGAGCAUAAUUAAAAAAAUACAAAGAGAAAUAGAGUCGAAAUUAGAGGGAGUGAGAGAGUUGAGAUUUUAGAAAAAGAGGAAGAGAGAAAGCUUAGUUUAGAGAGAGAAAAAUAGUUGAAUUUUAGAGAGAAAGAUAAGUUUAGAGAGAGAUAUGAGAUUAGAGUGUAAAGAAAAAUAAUACCAAUUAGCCGGCGGAUAGGGAGAAAGAAAGAGAUUAGACAUAUUAUGAUUAUUUCAAUCCAUUAAUAUGAGGAUACCCAUCCUCUCUCAAAGGAAUGAGAUUAGUACUUUAGGAUGAAUUUUAUUCCCAAAUAAAUCUAAUAUUACCAAUUAGAUUACUUAGUACCUUUAGUCAAACACCGUCAUAUUUUUUUAUUUCUAUUGGAUUAUUAAAAAUCUUUAAAAGAUAGCGCGAACCAAACGCACUCUAUAAAUUUUGUAUGAGUUACGUUUGUAUAUACUAACUGAUAUUAAAUACUGUAUAUUAAAUACUGUAUAUAAUAGUUAGUUGUUGUUGUCUAAGUAAAGCGAUAAAGCAAUUUAAAAAAGAAAAAAACACCUUGGAAUCUACAAAUUUUAUUUGAAUUUUUAUAAAAAUAAUAUCAAAAACUGUCCUGAUUAUUAAUUAGAAAAAGGGCAUUGAAAAAAGUGGAUGGAUAUAUUAUUAUUUGAUUUUAAAUAUGAGUUUAUUACUGAUCUAAUGCUAGCUACCUUCCUAGCGAAAAAUUCUAGAAUGCAACGGGUAUAUUAGUGACGUGGCGUAACAAAUCAAUCAAAUUAAUUCUUUUAAGAAUAUAUGUCCCAUCAUGAUUGUAAAAAAAUAUUUUUAUUAUACUUUUGUUUGGAAAAAAAGAAUAUGGUUGACUUAUUAUUAAUGACGUUGUGCAAGUGUGAUAGUGUAGAAUUCCUCCUUCCAGGUUUACCGAAACUGAACAGAGCCGUGUCAUGGAGGGCAAGAAUAUUUUAUUGGAAAAAAUGUACAAUCUGCAAACGUCCGGACACAGCUGAUCCGUGCACAAAUGGGUCUGUGGUUUCGAGAAGCGAAAAACGUGGGGCGGGGAAAAGCACUCACAGGAAUAUACUGUUUGUCUACUCUGAAUAACAUUUUUCCAUUUUGGACUCUCAAUUAGCACGUAUCUAUUUACUAUAUACUAAAGUAAAAUUUUUUAAAUAAUACUAUCACGUGACUUUUUAUAUAUUUAUCAUAUAUCAAACUCAAAUAUAAAAUAGCAAUUUUAUUAGAAAAUACUAUUAAAUCAAAUUAAAUCAAAUUAUAGUAAUUAACAAAUUAUACCAAUUAAAUAUAAUCAUAUAUACAAUUAGGAAACACUAUUAAAUCAAAUUAAAUCAAAUUAUACCAAUUAAAUAUAAUUAUAUAGAGCAGGGCUGCUGUGCUCUUAGGAGCACAUAGGCCUCCGUGCUCCUGAGCUAUUUUCGAUGAUGAAAUUUUCGAAUCGACGAUCGGCUCCGUUAGACUUGAUCUAGCACAUUUGAAGUUUCUAGAAAAUAAUUUUUGCGAUUUUUUGAUAUCAUUUACCUAGUGAUCGAAAGGAUUCAAAAUCCAUAGUUUUUAAUGAUUGAUAUCUGCCGUUUUCAAGUUUAACGGUGUAGAAGUAUUCAAAUUAGAUGAAAUUUUGAUACAAAAUUCUUUAUACUAUCUACAACAAGAUCAAUAUUUCUGAUCGAAAAUUGUAGUGCUAUAUCACCACUUUUUAUAGGAUUUUUAUUUUCAGCCGUUAAAAAUUAUUGAUUUUGAAUCCUUUCGAUUGCAAGGUAAAUAAUAUCGAAAAAUCGCAAAAAUUAUUUUCUAGAAACUUCAAAUACACUAGAUCAAGUUUAACGGAGCCGGUCGUCGAUUCGGAAACUCCAUCAUCGAAAACGGCUCAGGAGCAUGGAGGCCUCCGUGCUUCUUAGAGCACAGCAGCCCUGCUCUAAUUAUAUAUACAAUUAGAAAACACUAUUAAAUCAAAUUAAAUCAAAUUAUAUCAAUUAAAUAUAAUUAUAUAUAUAAUUAGAAAAUACUAUUAAAUCAAAUUAAAUCAAAUUAUACCAAUUAAAUUAAGUGUCUAUUAAAAGAAUUACGAUUCUCAUCUCUUUUUAGAGGAUGCACUGUUUUUGGGAACCCAUUGUUGUGCCAUAAGUCAAGUUUUUGCUAUCUUCAACAAGAAGUACUGCAUGAAAUUUCUUUUCGAGUUUUUUUUCAUUGUUUCUUAAUAUUCUCUAUGUGCCAUGCACCUAAUUAUAAAUAUUGCAUAUCACUUCUCUACUAUCACUUUUUCUGUAAUUUUCACUUCGUUUUAAUAAUAUUCGGUACAUUUCAGUUAAGUGGCUAUUGAGCAGUUUUUCUUAAUUCUUAGAUGUUGAUGCUUGAAAAUAGAACAUAUUGUUUUCAUUUUAUUAUUUAAAUACGAAACAAGUAUUAAUUUUUUUUUUUUCUGGAUGUCUUAUUGUUCUCAGGAUAUGUCACUUGAGUUUGAUUUUAUAAGUGACAUCACUCCUCUUGGAGACAAAUGGAAGAUCAAAGUUAGAGUGAUUUGUCUGUAUACUAUGCCUGAAUUUCAUCGUCCAGUGAUGGUGAAUAGUCUAGACUUAGUUCUUUCUGAUCAAAAUGUAAGAUACGACUGUUAUUGAAGCAGGUACUUUCAUCUUCAUGCAACAAAGUUUUUUUUUCCUUCAUAUUUUCUUGAAGACCAACAUCUAUAUAUAUUUGAAUCUUGGAAGUUGGUAUGUCUCUCAUAUACGUAUGCUUACUCUAAUUUGUGUCAAACAUGAAAGUUUAGUUGAUCUGAUUAUAUGAUUAAAUAUUAAUGUCAUUUGUAAUUUUUCACAUCAAUUUGAGUUCUCAUUUUGUUUUGUACAUCAAUAUGAAAAUGUAAAUUAUUUUGUACACCAAUUCAUAGAUAAUAGAACAGGGUUGAAUUUUUUAUCUUUACCUGAGUAUUUAUUUUGAUCCAUAAUUUUGUUUUUCUAGCUUUUAUACUUUAAUAUGUACUAUAAUUAAGAUUGAUAGUAUAUUUCUUUAUUUGUUAAAAAAAUAUAAUAUUAAUUAUAAUGUUUUUCUUUUAUCAUCACAUAAUAACUUUUGUUAUUUUAUAUUAGGGUUAUUUGCAUACACGUCGCUGCAAACAUAGUAAAUUGUAGAAAUAUUCCUGCAAAACGAAAAUUUCAUAAGUUGUCCCUACAAAAAUCAUAAGUUAUGCAGAUUUGUCUCUGCUGUUAGAGUCUGUUAGAGAAAUUUAGUUAACCACAGUUAAACUACUUAACCACGACUAGUUAAUAGUGUGAAUUUACGGUUCUACCCUUCUUCCUCAUCGUUCUCUUCCUUUUCCCUCUUCUUCAUCGCCGGCGACGAGAUGCGGCGACGGCGGCGACGUCGGCGAACCCUCUCCCUCUUCCUCUUCCCUCUUCUUCUUCCUCUCCCUCUUCCUCUUUCCUCUUCCUUUUCCCCUUCCUUCUUCCUCUCCCUCUUCCUCUUCCCUCUUCUUCGUCGCCGGCGAGGGAGAAGAUGCGGCGGCGGCGGCGGCGGCGAACCCUCUCCCUCUUCCUCUUCCUCUUCCUCUCCCUCUUUCUCUUCGCCCUUCUUCUUCCUCUCCUUUUUUCUCUUCCCUCUUCCUCAUCGCCGGCGAGGGAGGAGGUGAUUCGGCGAAGGCUGUGGCGGGGGCAAACCCUCUCCCUCUUCCUCUUCCUCUUCCUCUUCCCUCUUCCUUUCCUUCUUCCUCUUCCCACUUCUUCUUCCUCUCCCUCUUUCUCUUCCUUCCUCUUUGUCGCUGGCGAACCCGACCCCGCGUCGCCGCCGUUGUCCGCUCUGACGGCCCGAAGAGGAAGAGAAAGAGAAGGGGAAGAGGAUACUUUUGGAGGGAUAUAUUUGUGAGGGCAAAACAGUCUUUCACAAGAAAACUAUUAAAAAAUAAACAGUUCACUAACGGAAUUUAACGAAAGGGACAUAUCUGCAUAACUUAGGACUUUUGCAGGGACAACUUAUGGAAUUUCUGUUUUGUAGAGAUAUUUCUGUAAUUCACUAUAUUUGCAGGGACAUGUAUGCAAAUAACCCUUUAUAUUAUUAUGUUAGUCGUGCAUCGCACGGGUCAAAUACUAGUGGAUUAUAAUUAUUAUAGCUUAUAUAUAGAAUUAUGCUCAUAUAUUAUCGAUAGUAUCAAUCGCUUGAUGUUAUCAAUUUUUCAACCGUUGAAUAAAAGAAUGUUCUGAUUAGGAUGAUAGUGGUCUCUUAGAGUUGAUUGGGUGGUUGGUUGAAUAGUAUAAUUUAACGGAUAAAAAUGACCAAAGAGUAGAUAUAGCGCCAGAAAACUCGAUAGUACCAAAAACUUUGUACUAUCGAUAGUAUAAUAGCCGGACUCUCUCUCUCUCUCUAUAUAUAGAGAGAAAGAGAGAGAGAAAGUUGAGUUGGAAUACUAUUAAUAGUAUUUUAGCUCUUUUGCUAUCAAUUUUCUAGCCGUUAGAUCUACACUUUAAUAAAUUCCACCCGUUAGAUCAUACUAUUCAACCAACCACCCAAUCAACCCUAGAACAUCACUAUCAUCCUAAGCCUAUAAUUAUUGAUCCAAGGUUAAAAACUAUAUAGUAAAAGAGCUCAAAUACAUUAAUAGUAUUCCAGUCCAAUUAUAUACAUAUCUAUAUAGAGCUAGUCUCCUAUACUAUCUAAAGUAGCGGAGCUUCAGUACUAUAGUCUCGUUUUCGAUCUUAGGGUGUUCAAAUCAACGAUCCACAUCGUUAAAACUGAUCUAGUGUAUUUAAAGUCUUUAGAAAUAAAAUUUUAUAUUUUUUCGACAUAGUUUACUUUAUGAUCAAACCAUUUCAAAAUUGUCAAUUUUCAAUGGCUAUUAUGGCGAGUUUGGAGUUUAACGGCAUAGAAGAAUCUAAAUUUCUUCAAAUUUUGAUAAAAAUACUUUAAACUAUCUAGAUUAAGGUUAACAUUCUUGAUCUUGAAUUUAAAAAUCCUAUACUCAAAUUUUAAAGAUUAUUCAAUUUUCGCUAUCCAUUUUGACAUAAUUUAUUUACUAAGUAAACGAUGUCGAAAAAAACUAAAAUUUUAUUUCUAAGAACUUCAUAUACUCUAGAUCAUAUUUAACAGUGUGGAUCAUUAAUUUGAACACCCAAAGAUCGAAAACAAGACUAUAGUACCGGAGCUCCGGUACUAUAGAUAGUAUAAUAGCCUAAUUCUAUAUAUAUAUAUAUAUAUAUAUAUAGAGAGAGAGAGAGAGAGAGAGAGAGAGAGAGUCCGGCUACUAUCGAUAUACUAUCGAUAGUACCAAAUUCUUAGUACUAUUGAGUUUUCUGCUGUUACAUCUACCUUUUGAUUAUUUCCAUCCGGUAAAUUAUACUAUUCAACCAACCAAUCACUCAACCUAGGGGACCACUAUCGAUAUUAUAGUAGUAUAAUUCUAUAUAUAAAUAUAUAUAGAGAGAGAGAAAGAGAGUUCGAUUAUAAUGCUUUUAAAAGCAGCAAGUACUUAGUACUUGUAAAUUUUCUACCAUUAAAUCUAUUCUUUUACCAUUUUCACCUGUUAGAUCAUACUAUUCAACCAACCACCCACUCAUCCCUAAAGGACCACUAUUAUCCUAACCGCACUUCCCUUCAUCCAAGGGCAGAAGAUGUAAUGGUACAAAGAGUUUGGUGUUAUUAAUAGUAUAGUAACCUAAUUCUAUAUAUAUAUAAAAAAUCAUAUGGAACAAUGACCCGAAAAUGUUAUUGAGUCAAGGCUCGCUAGCUCUACCAAUGAGUCAACCACUUGUUAAACCAAUGACAUCAUCAUGAUGUUAUAAAUAUUUUAAUAAUUAUUUUUAAUUUUGUUAUAUAUAAGAUAAUACAUAUAUUAUUAUUUUAGCUUCAUAAAAUAUUGAUUUCUAGACCAAAUUAAAUGGGUAUAAGUUUUUUAAUUUCAAUUUUUAUAAAACCUAUAUAUGCUAAAAGAAAAUGAAAUUAGUUAAGUUGAAUUUAAGCGGUUGGAUUUUAAUAUGACUUAAUUAAAAAAUUCUGGCCGGUUUAAUUAAAACCAAAUCCAUUCACAUGUAUCGUCUGUUCGAACAGUUCAAAGCAAUUUUUUUGGCUUAUAGAUUGGAUCAUAAUCAAACCGUUCGAACCAAUCAGUUCAACCUAAUUUUAAAUUAUCGGUAAAAAUAGUAGUAGCUGCCGACAGGAGAAGUUAUUAGAAUAAUACACAUCUAUUACACCAAAACUCUAUCUUUCUCUAACCUGUCGAUAUCAAAGUAUGAGGAAGUCCACUGUACAGCGGUUAAUUUCAUACAGAUCCCUACAAAUAUAGUAAAUUAUAAAUAUAUCUUUAUAAAAUUUAACUUUCAUAUGUUGUUCCUACAAAAGUCUUAAUAUUUUUAAAUAUAUCUCUCUGGUUCGUUACUGUUAAAGUACUAUCUAUUUUAUAAGUGAAAUGACCUUUUUGCUUUGCCAUUACAAAUAUAUCUCUCUAAAAGUUCCAACUGUUAAUUGAAAAGCGAUAAAAAAGAUCAAUUCACCUCAUUAACUAACUAAAGUUAAGUAUUUAAUCUAUAAUUAACUAAAAUUUUCUAACGUAUUCUAACAGCAAUGAAUAUAUUUUAAAAUAUCAAUAUUUUUACAAGAACAGUAUAUAAAACUUGAACUUUAUAAAAACAUAUUUAUAAUUUACGAUAUUUAUAGAGCGAUCUGUAUAUAAUUAUACCUACAAUUUAACUAGUCAGAGACACCGCAUUAUCACCCCUGUAUUUUGUAGGCUUUCUCUUUUUUUUUAGUGAGGUAUCGACAUCGCAAUGAGUGAUGCAGUGACGUAAUCACAACUUUUGCCACGUACCCAACACGGCGUUUUCUUUUUCUUUACUUUAUUUUUUUGUCGCUGCAGGAGGAUCUUGACGAGGUUCGUGAGGACUCGGAGGCCGCCAUUUGCGUUCGCUUCUAUUCAUUUAAAACUUAUUUAUUUAUUUAUUUAUUUAUUUUACUAUUCAGUCACCAUUAUUUUAAUUGGACUUUUGAGUCUUGCGUUUUUAUCUUUUCCUCUGCUUUAUUAAUUUGUCACCUCACUUAGCUUUUGCCGCUUUGUUUCGUUCUUUUAUUAGGCGAUCGGUCCGAUGGAGAUACGUCGUACGGUAGUGAUGCCAAAACGGAUAGAUUUUUUUAUCACACAGGUUGGAACUAAAACCGAAAAGAUUUAGUUCGUCGAUGCGAAAAUACCAAAAAAGAUUCGAAAAAGAGAAAAGAAAAAUAAAACACACAAUAUUUACGUGGUUCGGCCAACGGUCUAUGUCCACGAGCGAAGACGGAGCGGAAAUCUUCAUUAGAAUCAAAAUAGUGUACAAAAUACGCCUCUCUCAUAAAACCCUAAUUCCAAAAAAUACACCCAUAUUUUCUCUCUCAUCUUCCGCAAUAAAUCAACAGCAGAAAGAGUAUAUUUAUAAUAGUGACUAAAUCCUAAUACGAUUAGAAAUACAAAUCCACUAAAAUUAGAAAUAUCUCGAUAAAUUAGGCACAAUCUAAACUUAACUUAAUGGGAUAAUUGAAACAGAAUAGGGUUAGAAGACCUUGCGGUACUAGAAUUUGAGACAUAUUUAACAGCACAAAAAUUCGGUGGAGACUGUUCCUAAUAAUAGAGCAUGUCAACGAGCCGAACAGCAGAGAGCUGAAAAUAUAUCGUAUUCGACUCAUUUGUUAUAAUAAAUGAACUGAGCACGAUCUAAUUCAUUAAAAUAUAUCGUUAGUAAAUUCUAUUCUUAGUACAAUAGAAUUAGAUUAAAAAGACAUAUUUUUAAGAUAUUUUUGUGUAAGUAUUUUAUUUAUGUCAAAAAAUUUUAAAAAAAAUUUAUUAACGCCUAAAUAUAAAAUCCAAUCCAAUCAAAAAUAAAAAGUUACACUACUCAACCAACUCCACACAGCCCAUUCGGUCCAAUUACAAAUAAAAAAGAAAAAAAAAAUUGAUCAUCAUUUCCCGCUCUCCUCCUCAGCCGCAGCCGACGAGAUAGGACUCCGGCGGCUGGAGUUCAGCCGCAAGCAUCUCAUAUGCACCGUGAAAAAUUACGAUCGUCAAGUAUCCCUCCGCCACAUAUCGCUGGAAGAGUGGGUGCCAAUAUUAAAGCGGCCCUAUAUAUAGUGACCCUACAUAUAGCAACACUUAUAAAAAGUAUCGGUAAUUUAGCCAGCAGUAUUUUUUUUUAUCUGUACCGAUAUUUAAAAAUAUCGCUAUACACCAUUUUUAUUGUAGUGUCUGAUCGCCGACAUAUCAUAUUUAAUGGGUUUAAUAAACGAGUUAAAAUAUUCAAUUGAAAAAAUUCAGCUCUGAUUGCCCUACUACCGGGUUGAAAAGUUAGAAAAAAUAAUUUAAAAAAUUAGAUUCUUAAUCUAAUAAAUAAAAUUCACAAAAUAGAGGCGAUUUAUAUUUGGAUUAGCUUAAAAUUUAAAUAGUAAAUAAUUGUAAUAUAAAUGCACAUAUAAGUAAUCGUCUUUAUUGACUUUUGAUCUAACCACAAAAAGAGAAUUCACUGACUAAAAUUUAGAAGGACCUAUACCUUGGUGCCACAAAAGCAUUCGAGGUUAGCCAUAUAUGUAUAGGAUCCGGCUAGGAUGUUUCUAAUAGCACCAAACAUCUAGUGCUACUAAAUUUUUUACUGUUUAAUUUAUCUUUUUAAUUAUUUUUAUUCGUUAAAUUAUACUAUUGAACUAGCCACUGACUCAACUCUAGAGAACCGUUAUUAUUCUAAUCGUACAUCCCUUCAUCCAAGAGCCGAAUAUCUAAUAGCACCUAUGACUUGGUGCUAUUAGAAGCAUUCCAGUCUAAUUCUAUAUAUGUGUGUGUUUGCGCUCAUUCCAGUAUAUCGAGCCGAACACAAGUGAGCUAAUUAUAACUCGUGUUUAACUCGUUAAGAUUUCGAACUAAAAAUUUAGCUCGUAUUCAACGCAUUUAUUAAACAAUCGAUCAAUCUUGAGCUCAUUCCGAAUCGAGCAAGAGUUAGCUCAUGAAGACAAGCUCGAUUGACAACCCGGUUCCUAAAAUAGGACAGUUUCCUCUACCAUUCAUCACAUAAAUCGUCUCAAAUCUUAAUUAAAUAGUAAUAUUUUUGUUAGAGCCAAUAAUAAAAUGCCAAAUGGCAUAUUGGUGCACAGUUCAGCCAGAACCUUCAAAGAUCAAGAUUAAAUGGGUUUCGUGGUGCACCAGGAGUAAUGGCAGAUUAAUAGCAUAACCACAGGGUAUAACUGCAAGCGGUUAUGUGCAGUUUUGAUCGGCUUGUAAUGGCCCGCAAAAAUAGAAAAUUGACCGAUCAUGAAGCAAUAACUAAACAAUAAGGGUGGACUAUAAAUAGGCAAAUAAUGCCAAAAAAGGAGGUUUUUUUUUUUUAGAAUAGAAGACCAUUUUUAUUUCUCUACAUUUUCUUUACAUUUUCUAGGAAUAGUCUACUUGUAAUCUUUUCCUUUUUCGCAUCUACUGUUUUUCGUAGGAAUAGUUCUAAGUCAGAUUUUCGGAGUCUGUAUACCCUAAAGGCACACUCGCGUUUGUACAAAUUCAUAGAUUUAAUUUCAAUAUAUAAAGACAUUCGGCUCUUUCAACCGAUCAAUUACUAUGCAUUUCAUCCAUUCGGCUCAUUCAGCCGAACUUGUUCUACAGUAAGGAUUUUCGAACUCAGCUGAUCCGAUCGCAAAUCAGCAGAAUCGCCUGAUCCGUCGGAGGGCGCAAGCUUCGACCUCGAGGGUCAUCAUGUGAAGCCGGAUUUAAUUGUCGCACGUUUUCCUAGGAAGGCUUUUGACCAGGUCAACGACUGAGAAAUUCAGCUCAUAGCAAUUUUAAAAACUCAUAUCAAAUAGCGACUCGUAAAUAUUACUGGGUUAAGAGUCAAGGGCCGGUGACAUCGGCGUAACAUCAUAAAUAUUUAAUUUUAUUUUUAAUUUUAUUAUAUAGAAAAAUAUUCAUAGAUUAUUAUUCUAAUAUUGUACUUAAUUAAACAAAUACUAAUUUUUAUAACAAAUUUUGUAGCAUAAAUUUUUAAGUUUUAUUUUUUGUAAGACUAAUCUAUGCUAAUAGAAAGUAAGAUUAGCGAAGCAUAUUUUAAGCCGCUGAUUUUUAAUAUGACUUGAUACAAAAUCGAAUCUGGCCAUUUAAUUUUUUUAAAUGUUAAAUUAAACUAUUAAUAAAUAUUAGCUAUUAAAAUAGAUAUCUAAAAAAAUAUAUUUAUAUUUUAAUAUAUAAAAUAUGUUUUUACAUAGGUUUAGUUUUGGGUUCCGAUUUGGAUUCAGUACAACUAAAGAUAAAAAUUAUAACGCUUUAUUUUUUCCCAUAUUUGAAAUCAGAUUCGGAUUCAGUUAUAAUUUCGAACAUCCAUAUCCGUUAACAUCCGUAACUGUACAUAUUAUUGAAAUACUUUAUUUUCUUUUAAUAUUUUGACCUAGAAAUAGUUAAUAGUCACAAAGUUGAUUAAUUAGAAAACAUUAUCAUGAGGAAUUUUUUAUUUAUGUGGAACUUUUUUUUAUUGUACUAGUAAUGCUUAUGAAUACAACACGUAUAGAUCAUAAGUACAUCAAUAUGUAACGCAUUAGUAUAACUGCACAUCAUUAUUUUUUUUUAAGUCAUAUGGUGUAUAAAAAGCGUAUUAAUAGUGUGUAAAAUGUAAUAUGGUGUGUUAAAAAUGUAAAAUUUUCUGAUUUUAGCCAAAUAAAUUCGAGAGAUUUUGCCAAGUUAAUUUAAUAAUUUGGCCAAGUUUAAUAUUUUAAACUCAUAAAACUAUAAAAUAUUACAAAAAUUUUAACUUAGUUAACUAGAAAUGUAGAAGUCAAAAGAGGUGUAAAUACAGCCAGAAAAAAAAAAAAGAAAAAAAGAAAAAAAAAGAAAGAAAAGUUGAAGUGUCUAUCUCAGAAUCACCUAUAGCUUAGGGGGUCUCCAUAUAAUUUUACUUAACAAAUCUCAUUUUAUUAUUCGUUUGGUUCGGGUUAUAAGAACUAGUUAUUUUUGGGAUAGAUAUAAGUUCAGGUGUAAGCCGAAAAUAGAUCAAUUUUACAUUUGAAUGAAAAUUGAGUUAUUUCUGGGAAUAAAAAAAAAUAGCGUUUGAAUAAAUAAGAUAGAAUAAGAAGAAUAAUGAGCAGUUAUAAAUAGAAAAUAAACUCCUGUUGGCCACCUCGAUCCUUGGGGUCACUUUUUUCACCCCCAAUCCACUAGGAGUGCUGGGUGGCAGCCGGGGUGGGCUAUCUUUUGGGCUGUUUAGUGGGCCCCCACCGAGUAUCCGAGCCGGGCCCGCUUCGUUAUUUUUUUGUCAGGCCUUGAGAGCAAUCUUGAGUGCACCAUUGGCCCUUGAGUAGGGUUUCCUUUUCUCUUGUGACAGUUGGGCCUUUUCGGUCACACCUGCAGGGAAGGAUUCAACGGACGGGUGCCGCAUUACAGCAGAUUCUUAUUUUCUUCAGCAACUGCCACUCGGAGUUGUGGGAGCAGCCGCGACCAACUGCACUUUGCUCCCCUCUACUGAUCUGAUUGCUGGGGACUCGGUCUUUUCAGAUGCCUUCGGAUUUCAAUCGCCUUCCACCCCUGAUCUUCUGGUUAGCCCAAACUUUGAUCCGGUUCUGAGUGGGAUCCCAGCGUGUGUGUCUGAGCCGCAGAUACCGGGGGCAAUAGAGCCAGUGCCGUCAGGUAGUUCAAGAGCCUCUUCCCCAGCGAUGGUGCCAAGAACCUGUAAGCGACUCGCUGCAUACCGCAAGCGAUCAAUCCUACACAAGGCAAUGGAAAGGAAGAGCAUUCAGCGUGAGGGGGUUCAGGAGGUUGGGCGCAGAACUCCUGUGGAGAAGAUCACCUACAAGAGUCACCUCUGCGGGGUGGAUUUAGGAGAGAACGAGGCUAAGACCUUCUCCGCUUUUCUGAACGAAUGCAAAUAGGCAGGACGAGUAGGGUUUCUGUAGACUCUUUUUUUGGGUUUUGGUGGUGAGAGUCUAUCUGUUUUUUAUAUGUUUCGCGUCUGUAGCUGGAAUGUUAGGGGGCUCAACGACCCCUCUAAACGGUGUGCCGUUAGGGCCGUAGUGUCUAAACUUCAUAAUGCAGUAGUUUGUAUCCAGGAGUCGAAAGUUGAUCAUGUUUCGAGUUCCUUCCUUAGUAGUUUCGGGGGACCUUUGUUAAACAAAUGUGUUUUUCUUGAAGCCAACGGUGCCUCUGGGGGGAUUAUUACGAGUUGGAGUUCCCGUUUUUUCACUUGCUUGGAGGUCAUCGUAAGGACAUACUCCAUUACUACUCUGCUUUCCUCCACCACGGGCGGGUCUAAGUUUUUUCUCACGAACGUCUACGGACCCGCCUCUUGGGACGGCAAGGAAGAUUUCUUCGCCGAAUUGGUUCAGCUGAAAGAUCAUUGCGUGGGCAAGUGGAUCAUCUGCGGCGAUUUUAACUGUACGAGAGGUCAAGAGGAGCGAAGGGGAAAACUUUGGAGCACCAAAGCCACAAACUUAUUCAACGAGCUGAUCAGAGAGCUUGCCUUGAUUGACCCACCGAUGUCCAACCAAUCCUUCACUUGGUCCAACAUGCAAGCACUUCCAACGUGUACGCGGCUCGAUCGUUUCCUUGUCUCAACUGAAUGGGAUCAUGAGUUCCCCCUCUCCAGAGUUGAAGCACUUCCUCGAAUUACUUCAGACCAUUGCCCUAUCUUGCUAACUGUGGAAAAUUCUGCUAGGGUGAAUCACACGAUCUUCCGGUUCGAGGAGGCUUGGUUGAACCAUGAGGGUUUUACCUCUAAACUUCCGGAUUGGUGGAGGGAGGUUCCACUGAACACGCGGAAUACCCAGAAUAAAUCGGCAGUUUUAACCUUCACAGCGAAGCUGAGACACUGUCGCAUUAGGAUCAAGGAGUGGUGUGCUAAUGAAUUCUACAGUAUUAGAGGAGUUAAAAACCACCUAAUGGAAGAAAUACAGAAGAUUGAUAAAGCUGAGGAACUGGGUGAUUUUUCGAACAACUUAUGCUCUAUGAGAGCGGAACUUAAGGCUAAUCUAGGAAAAGUCUUGGACGACGAAGCUACACUUUGGAGAUCCCGGGCCAAACAGCACUGGCUGCGAGAGGGGGACAGUAAUACUAAGUUCUUCCACGCUGUAGCUAACGGCAGACGCAGAGCUAACUGGAUUGGCACGAUCGUCGAUAACGGUUCCACUUACCAAGCUGAAGAGGAUAAACGAAAUUAUUUUUACCAAUCCUUCAAGUCACUGUUCACUCCUAAGGUAUCGGCCCCACCUUCCUUUGGAAACUGGGACAGGUUAUUCCAAUCCGAUAGCAUUGCGACUCCUGAUUUAGCAAGGUUAUCCGAUCCCUUCAAUUUAGAGGAAAUCAAGAAAGCCGUUUUUCAACUGGGAAGCGACAAGGCGCCGGGACCGGAUGGUUUCCCUUUGAAGUUCUACCAAACGUUUUGGGACACUGUUAAGGAUGAUAUUUUGAGUAUCUUUCAGGAAAUGUACGAGGGAAGGCUCUCCACGGAUGCCAUCGACUACUCUUUCAUUUGCCUUAUUCCUAAGAACGAGGGGGCAGUGCGAGCAAAUGACUUUAGACCCAUAAGCUUGUUAAACGGGAUCCAAAAAAUUUUAUCUAAGGUUUUGACCAAUAGGCUAGACCAGGUUAUGAAGGAUCUGAUAUCCCCGUCUCAGUCUGCUUUCCUGAAAGGCAGGAACAUUACCGACGCUUUUGCAUCAGUUUCCGAACUUAUUGGAUGGGGUAGCAAAUUGUCCGUCGAAGGUGUCGGGAUAAAGGUUGAUUUUGAAAAGGCCUACGACAGGAUUUAUUGGCCAUUUCUUUUCCAAAUUCUACGGUGGUGGGGUUUCAAUGACAAGUGGUGUGAAUGGAUCGAAUCUUGCGUGUGCCACGCGAAAGUGGCAGUACUUGUUAACGGAGAGCCGACCAAAUGGAUAAAGACGAAGAGAGGCGUAAGACAAGGGGAUCCGAUUUCACCUUAUCUAUUCUUACUGGUGGCUGAGUGCCUGGCUCGUUUGACCAAUGAGGCGGCCUCUAACAGUCUCAUUAAAGGCCUCGGCCCGUCCGAGGGAUGUAGGGUCACUCUCACUCAAUUUGCGGACGAUACCUUUUUCUUCUGCGAAGCAAAAAGCAGGUACUUGAAAAAUCUCAGGUUUAUUUGGCGCCUCUUCGAGUGGGCCUCGGGAAUGAAAAUCAACAGGAAGAAGACGGAGCUUUACUAUCUGGGACAGGAGGUCGGUAAAGGAGCCAGAUUAGCAAACAUUUUGGAAUGCAGAGUGGGCACCCUCCCAACCAAUUAUUUGGGUCUACCGCUCUCUCCCAGAUCACCAUCCAAGGAGGCAUGGAUGGGGAUCAUACAAAAGAUACACCGCAGAAUAGAGGGCUGGCAGGCUAAACUACUAUCUAGGGGGGGUAGACUUAUCUUAGUUAACGCGGUACUAACCAACAUACCCCUAUACUCUCUUUCCGUGUUCAAGGCCCCCGCGUGGGUGAUUAAGCACAUCGAAGCCCUUAGAAGGGACUUCUUCUGGAAUGGUGGGCGCAGCACCCCGGGCAAAGGAUGCCUAGUGGCUUGGAAAAACGUUUGUAAGUCCAAAAAGGAAGGCGGGUUAGGUAUCUUGGAUGUUGCGACCAUGAAUCAAGCGUUAUUGACUAAAUGGUGGUGGAAAUUCCACAUUGCACCUGAACUACAGUGGAACAAGUUAAUCCGGGUUCUGUACUAUCGUAGAAGAAAACCACUGAGGGAAGGCAGAUACUUUAGACCUUUCUCUUGUUGGUGGAAAGGUAUCCUUACUUGCAGCACCAUCUUUAAAUGGGGUGCAACCUUUGAACUAGGAAACGGUAAAGCCAUCGACUUCUGGCAGGACAGGUGGUGUGGGGAGAAAACUUUGAACCUUCUGUUCCCAGAAGCUCAUCUCACAACUGAGGGGAAAAACUACAGAGUUAGCGACUAUUUCACGAGGGGUAGUUGGAAUUGGACCAAGAUACUGGGUGCCGAAGUGGGCCGUUUGCAAGGGCUGAUACCGAACCUCUCGGAGCUAGUGGAAAGGGUCUCCAACUUCUCUGUCGGACAUAGACCUGAUAAGAUCCUUUGGCGGUGGAGUUCAGACGGACAGUUUUCGGUCAAAUCGACUUAUUUGGCUUUGACGGACGGCGGGGUGAGAGACGCACGCGCCGCCACCAUCUGGAGUCUCAAAAUCCCCCUUAAAGUAAAAGUCUUUAUCUGGUUGGUCCUUAAGAAAAGAAUCCUGACACGCGAUAGACUUGCUAAGAGAUGGUGGAUCGAUGACCCCACCUGCGUGCUUUGCGGGUCGGACGAGGAAUCAGUGGACCAUCUGUUUACCCACUGUGUAUUCUGCAAAUUCAUCUUGGUGUUAGGGGACGACGAGAUCCAGGCCCAAGACCUGGGGGAUGAGGUGAAUCUUGUUUGGGAUAGGUGGACUGGCAAGAAAGACCCUCUUAAUAAGCGUACCAGACUUGCUGAACUAGCGGGAUGCUGGUGGGUGAUCUGGAAGGUCAGAAACGAUGUAAUAUUUCGGAAUAUUCCCCCUAACCCGGGGAUAGCGGUCCAUAGAUUCAAACUGCUUGUGAAGGAGUGGGAGCUUCUCCUCCGGUCAUAAUUUGUUUUUUUUUUUUUUUUUUUUCUCUCUCUGGGGCCGGGUUGCCUCACAUUUGUAGCUUAGUUCAUAUGAUCAAUGAAUGAAGCGGGUAGCAUGCUACCUCUUUCUCAAAAAAAAAAACAAACACAUCGACUACAUAGAUUAACAUUGUUUAAUUAGUUAUCAUGCCUUAAAGCAGACGCAAAUAAAAGAUCAACUAUACGGAGUUUUUACUACUAGUCUCGUAUGUAUUACUUCACUGGGGAUCAAUAAUCCAGUCCAAUGGAUCAUUUGUUUAUAGUCAGUUUUGCUAAAAAAAGACUUAGGUUUGUUAUCACAUAUAUAUAUAACUAGCAACUAACCCGUGCAAUGCACGGAUUUUAAAUUUAUCUUUUAAUUACAAUUUUUAUAUAAUAUAUAUUAAUUUUUACAUAUUAANUUAAAAUUUAAAUAUAUAUCUUUAAAAAUUAAAAAAAUUAAAAUAAAAUUUUAAAUUUUAAAUCUCAAAUUCAAAAAUUUAAAGUUCUAAAUUUUAAAUUUAAGAUUAAAUUUAAAUUUAAAAAUAUCAAAUAUCAAAUUUUAAAUUUCAAAAAUUAAAAAUAAUAAUUUAUAAUUUAUAAAUAUAUUAAUUAAGAUUAUAAAUUCUUUAAUUUAAAAAAUUAAAAUUUAAAAUUUAAAAUUUUAAUUAUAAAUUUAAAUUUAAAAAUUAAAUUGGGGUGGGAUUAGUUAACCCCACCUGGCCAAUUCCAGGGGGAGGUGGGGUUUGUUAACCACACCCCUAACGGGUUAUUCCGGAAUAACCCGUUAGGGAUGGGGUUAACAAAUUCCACUCAUUGAAAAAGGUGUUUGGGGAUUAAGAGGGGAAUAACUCCUUAAACCCCCUCCUGACCCUCAACCAAACACCACCUGAGUCCAAUUUUUACCACUCACAUGUAGGAAUGUUACUUUUUCACUGCAUGAGUGAUAAUUGUAAAGUGAUUGAGACACCAAAAAAAUAAUAAUAAUAAUAAUAAUAAUAAUGUUGGAGUUGUUUGUUUCAAACAAAAUGAUAAGAUCUGUUAUUAUCAGCCUCUUUUUGCAAAGUAAAAGAAGAGAUUGAUGAAAACCUUUUGAUGCAGACCCUUUUCACCUGCUUCUAAAAACUCCUGAUGAUGCACAGAUUGUUACGUGUAUUAUAUAUCGACAUGUAAGUACAUUAAUAAAAACUUCAAAUACCAUCUCUGUGAUUUUGCAUUUUCUCACUUUAGUAUCCUGUGGUUUAAAGUGUAUCGAUUUAGUACUCCGUGGUUUUAUUUUUUCUUUUUUAUUAUCUCCUUCACUAAUUUUUUUUUUAUUAAAUCAGUGACAAAGUUAAAACUAAAAGAGACUAAAGUAAAUAUUCGAUAAAUUUAGAUUGGGUAUGAAAAGUUUUUUUUGUAUAUAAUUUAACGAAAUAUUAACAGAGGAGUUGAUGAAAAGAAAAAAAUGAAAUCACAGGAUACUAAAUUGAUACACUUUAAAUCAUAUGGUACUAAAAUGAGAAAGUGCGAAACCACAGGUAUGGUAUUUGAAGUUUAUCCUAAAUUUUUAGUAGUAAAAAAAAAGAUAAGACAAGUGACAAAAUAUGAGCCACGGAAGGAUUAAGAUAUAAAAUUUAUAGGGAUGAAAAUGGUGUCGAUUUUUUGACGAAACCAUGUCCGCAUCUGUAUCUUUCUUCGGGUGCAAAAAUGUGUCGUAUGCCAAAUCUUCGAUACUAUAUCCGCUUAAAACGGAUUUGAAUUCAGAAUGAAUCGAAUUCGUAUUCAAAUACAAAUAUUAUUCCGAUAAUAAUAUAUACUAAUAAGCAUUUAUAAAUAUGAACUAAAAUUGGCAUAAAUAAAACACAUAAUUGCAUUAAAACUUUAUAUUUGUAUUCAAACUUCAUAUGCCUAUAUCUUAUUCAAUAAAUUAAAUAUUUUAAAAAAAUGUAAAUGUAUUUUUUAAUAUGAAGUUCAUUGUAAGGUAAAGGAAAAAUAAGAUAAAAAAUUACCUUAUUUUCCUACAAUAUAUAUUAACAUCUUUCUUAUCUUUUAAGAAUGAAAACGGUCAAAUAUGAUCAAAUUUUUUAGAAAAUCAUAUUUGAAUCAACUUUUAAAAUUUUUUUAAAUAUAAAUUUGAAUACGAAUAUGUAUCAGAUAUUAAGCUUUGAUAUUUAUAUACGCAUUCUAUCGAAUCUGAUGUGAAAUUUCAACCUGCUUCAUAGGUGAAUGGGGACAGGUUUUGUACUGCAGUGCAAUUUUGGGGUGCAAUUAAUUAUUCCGUACAUCGAGACAGAAUUGGUAAUUGGACAUGGCAAUUAUUCAUGACCUAGACUAUUAAAAGAAAAAUUACAGUUUAAAUAAAAAUUAUAUAUUUUUUGUCACAGCUAUAAAAUUGUAGUUCUCACCGUUCUGAUUUUUUGUAUAGUAAUAAGUGAGUGAUGUAAAAUCUAAAAGUCACCAUCAUUAAUAUUUUAUUAUUUUUGUCGCUUUGUUUUUGUAAUUGAUUACGAGAUGCUGAAAGGUUUGAGUUUUGACCAAAAGUAAAAUUACAAUAAAAUAAACAACAAAACUUAAUAUUUUACGUCUCUACUUCCGAUGAAAUAAAUACUCCUCAAGCUUAUUUGUUUCAACGAAGGUGAAAUUUAGCUGGAAAUAGACUUUCGAGUAAACUAGAUUUCAAGUAAAAAUUAGCUUUCUUCCACUAUUUGUAUGUAUAUUUGUGAAUCUAAAAUUUUUCCGAUUGUUCUACUAUGUAUUUAAAACAGAAAUAAAGCGUUAAAUGCAUUCAUGUCUCUGCAAAUAUAGUGAAUUGUAAAUAUGUCCCUACAAAAUUUAAUUUUUAUAUAUUUUUUCUGCAAAAAUUUAAUGUUUUUAAAUAUGUUCCUCUAGUUAUAGAACUGUUUAUAUUUUAAGUGAAAUGUCAAUUUUAUCAUCACAAAUAUAUCUCUCCAAAAACCACAACAGUGUAAUAAAUAAGAGGGGCAAAAAUGUAAAGUUAUCUCAUAAAUUAACCAGAGUUAAGAAUUUAACCUACGGUUAAUUAAAAUUUUCUAACCAAUUCUAACGGCAUGGACAUAUUUAAAAACAUUAGGAUUAGGAUUUUUAUAGGGACAACAUAUGAAAGUUGAAUUUUGUAUGGAUAUAAUUGUAAUUCACUAUAUUAGCAGAAACCUAUAUGAAAUUAACUCUAAAAUAAAUAACGAAAAAAAUGAAUAUACAAGAAAUAGGCUAAUAUUUUAUUAUUCUUUUCUUAUCUUUUCUUUCCGUAAUUGACUAUAGUAUUUUCAAAAGUUAUCAAAAUUAAAUUACGAUAAAUCAAACACGAACAUUCACAUUCACGGUCGAAAAUAACUUCACCCCUUUCUCGAUGACCGCGAUCCAAUUUUUCUCUCUUAAAAGUUUAAAUUCAAAUCUACAAUUGAAUUUAAUGUGCUCCAGAAGCACCAUCUAGAGGACAUGUAAAGGUGACUAACUUUCUAUACAAAGAAAAGAGUAAAACACCACGCCUUGAAUUUAUUAUAUUAUCUAUUAUUAUAUACUAAAGUGCGUGGAAUGGUUUUCUUUUAUUGAGAUGUAGCUCUACUAUUCAGUACAUCCGGUGCAUUGUAGACCAUGGAUUGUAGACAUAUAAAUGGUUUAUAUAUAUAUAUAUAUAUAUAUAUAGUNNNNNNNNNNNNNNNNNNNNNAGCUGGGCCCUCAAGUCACGGACCUCACUAGAUCCGGAAGUAGCGGAGGUCUCAACCUCCUCGGGGUGUGCCGCAUCAUCCGCCCCGGCAGACUGGGAGCGUGUAAUCGGCAUCGUCACUACAAAGCAUAAAAGCGCAAGUUAGUAACCCACGCUAUCGCAUCCCCGCUCAAAUAGAUAAAACCCCAAAUCAUGCGAAAGUAAGGAAGUGUCCUUCACUACUAACUUCCGAUGUUACGUUGUCGACCGCCAACGUAACCCUCCGCGAUGUUAGAAGCCAUACACUCCGAUCAAACUCUAACUUUCUAGAGUUGUCAUAAUACCCAAUCAUGAUACUUUCGCUCACAAGUCGAAUAGACCUCGUCUCUCACGAGCAUAUUUCCUAUAGUCCAACCGGCCUAAGGUUUGCUAGAUCCCCUAAGACUCAACCCUAGGCUCUGAUACCAAAUUAAUCUGUCACGCCCCGGGACCGGCGGAGGCCCUCCCGGUAGCGUGCCCGGACCCGCCAUAUGUCUACACAUAUAAGGCGUCUAGAAUAAAAGCGAAAGUAAAAGCAAGUAGUAGACAACUAGAAGAAGUGAAAUAACAAGCAACUAAUGAUAUCAGAGCGAAUAUAGUUCUAACAUCUACACCAAGGUAAAGAAGUAAAGCUGGUCAAUAAAAAGAGUCAUAAGAAGUACAAUAACUGUCACUAGUACAAAAAUGGUGGUCUCUAGUACACUGGUAAAACACUCAACCUCUUGCAAAAAUAGAACAAAAAUCGAGAGGUAGACCACCUAGCAACUCGUCCUCGAAGGAAGCUAGCUCGAAGCAACUCCCUUCCCGCGAUCCCUGGCCUCACCCUGAGUGGAAGGCUCUGUAAAACAUCGAGAAAAAGAGGGCGUGAGAACUAUAAUUUAUAGUUCCCAGUGGGCAAUUACUGACCUCAGCUCAAUGCACCACUAGGCCCCAAAGGAAAAGGGUAAGUACUAAAGCAAUAAUAAGAGUAAUAGCAACAACAAUACGAAAGCAUAAAUGAAGUGCUAAACCGCUAUAUCUCAAGUAAAACAUGAUGUCAUGGUGGUGUACAUCUACGCUGUCAUAAGAUAAUAUAUCCAAUGCAUACUGUUAUGUCUCGACAUGAUAAACAAGUAAACCUCACAAUGCAGUAUGUCGAUGCAUAAAGAGUAAACUCUAACCAAGCAACCGAGUAUACUACGAUACAAUAAUGAAACCGGCAAGUAUGCUAUAUGCACCAAUGCUAUAUCAUGAGCAUGUCAAAGUAAUCCAACUACUAAACCUAUCUAGUAGUGAUUAUUCAUUCUCAACCCUGUGUCGAAUUCUAUUUCCAAUUAAGGACCCACCCAAGGUGGCCCAGCUUGUGCCGCCUAAGUGCCCGUGGUAGCCCGACAUUCCUACUCUUGGAAUGUGUCUGUCCCACUCAACCCCGUAGGCUUCUCAAUACCGCACGAACGAACAUAGUCGCGUAGGCUAACUCCGGAGUGCCGGCUUGUAGGGAGCGACUCUCACAAGCAUGUGCGAAUGAGCACAAAUGGCAAGCAAGCAUAGUCCAAAUCUCAAAUGUCCAAUCCUCAUGUCUCUAACAUGGUAUGGUCACUAGCAUCACGAAGAUCUAGUUUAAGUCAAAAUGUGGAGUUUCAACAUUUGCUACGCCUAGUGCCCCUUGAUGACACUUAGGCAAUUUGAUGUUCAACAUGUAUUUCAAAUCCCUCAAUGGCCCUAUCCACUAGGUUCUCACAUAUCCCGAGCUCAAUGCCGCUUGAUGACAUUAGCUCUUUAAAUCACAUACGAUUCAAGUUUGGGGACCCAAAAUGGCCAAUGUUGUUAUCUUUCCUGUCUCAAUUAAACUUAGGUUUAAAUGCAAGAAUCAAAACUCAUUUACACUAUAAGCAACAUGGCCAACAUAAGAAUGCUAGAAAACCCCGCAUAAGCUUCAUAUGUACUUUUUUACUACAUAGAGGUCCAAAAUUUUACUACAUGUGACAUGGGUAUUUUAAGCAUUCCAAAAAUCAUAAUAAACGCAUGUGACAUGAUUAUGCAUGAUUUUCCAAUUUACAAAAUAUAAUUCACCAUAUAUGAGAAUUUCUCAUAUUAUAGGCUAGGUCAAACCCACCAAAAUCGAAACUCUCGAUCCGCCGAACGAAGGUUUCGGCAAGCUCCCAAGUACCCUAAGAGCAACAAAAACGGGGUUACCCAAACGAAACGAAGAGCGAAAAGCUCAAACAUUAAGCAUCUAGCAAAAUGGGCAAAACUCACCUCAAGAGAAGAAAUCUCUUCCUAUGCUCCAAAAGAGAGCUAGAACCCUUCCAUUCUAACCUAGGGGAAGGUUCUAAUCCAACCAAUUGAGCUUCAAAAGCCCUAAAACGAAAAUGCCCAAAAUAAACCCUAAAACACCAAAUCUAGGGUUUCAUCUCAAUGAAACCUUCAAAAACCAAAUCUAGAGGGAAGGAUCUUGUCUCUUACCUCUUAGAAGCUUCAAACCAAGCUCAAAGUUCCCAAACUUCAAGAAUAUUCCCUCAAUCAAGCUCCAAACCUAAGCUCCAAGCUUCAACAAUGGUGGAAAUAGCUCCAAAAUGCAAAAGAGAGGGAAAAAAUCCAUCAAAACCCAAGCAAAAAGGUGAUCAAAACCAAAGGGAGGAGAAGAGGUUCUCCUUACCUUGCUUCUCCACGGAUUCCAGCUCAGGGAGAGCUCCAUGGGGCGUGGGGACACAUAUAAGAGUCCACAAAUGCGAAAAACCCCCUGCAGUUUCGAACAGUUCAAAAAUCUGCACUGCGUACCGGUACACGGGCCCGCGUACCGGUACACAUCCCACGAAAAUGCCAAACCCGAGCCUCGGGUUGGCUGAAAGGCUGCCCGUGUACCGGUACACACUCCCGUACCGGUACAACCAUCAAGCCUGUACCGGUACAGCCAUCAAGCCUGUACCGGUACAGCCAUCAAGCCUGUACCGGUACACAGCCCAAUAAAGGCUACCCGAGAGCUAACAAAAAAUCCAACUUUUUGGAUGUUGGUACACCGCUUCAAACCACAAUUCUCGGGACUCGAACCAUGGGUCGGAACACUGUCUACGACCCUUCAGAAAGUCUGAGAUGGCUCGCCACACAGAUCAAACACUCGAACCUCGCAAUUUGCAAAGGUCCAGUGCGUCACAAUAGUAGCCCUACUCAUAUAUAUACCAUAUACUAUAUCUAUAGAGAGAGAGAGAGAGAGAGAGAGAGAGAGAGUUCGGCUAUUGUACUCUUAUGAGUACGAUCGCCUUCGUACUCAUAAGUUGUUUUCGAUGAUACAGCUUCCGAAUCGACGAUCCAUACCGUUAAACAUUAUCUAGAGCAUUUAAAACUUUUAGAAAUCAAAUUUUAUAAUUUUUCGAUAUCAUUUACCUUAUGAUCAAAAGCUCACAAAAUUGACAAUUUUUAACGACUGAUAUGAGAUAUUUACUAGUUUAACGGUGAAAAAAAUUGGAAUAAGUUGAAUUUUUGAUAGAAAAUUUUAUUCACUACAUAAAUAAAAAUCAAUAACUCUAAUCUUAAAUUGAAGGAUCCGAUCAUCUAUUUUUAAGAUGUCAUUCGAUUUUAAUCGUUCUUUUUAUACCCUCUUGAUGGACUUUAUAAUGAUUUUAAAAAAUUACAAAAUUUAUUUUCUAGAAGUUUCAAAUAAUCUAGAUCAUUUUUAACGGUGUGGAUCAUCAAUUCGAAAUGUCCAACAUCGAAAAUAACUUAUGAGGACGAAGGGCUCAAUACUCAUAAGAGUAUAGUAGCCCUACUCUAUAUAUAGAGAGAGAGAGAGAGAGUUGAGUUAGAAUACUCUCAAAAGCACUAAGGGUGUGGUACCUUUGAGUUUUUUACCAUUUGAUAGAGAGAUGUAGGGUUGAAAUGAUGGUGAUAAUGAUAGUGGUAAAUGAUGUCGAAAAAUUAUGAAAUUCGAUUUCUACAUAGUUCCAAUAACGUAGAUUAAGCCUAACAGAACAGAUCGUCAGAUCGAAUAUCCUAUCAUCAAAAACAACUUACAAGUAUCGAAACAUUCAUACUUUCAAAAGCACAUAGACCUAACGGGCUCUCUCUCUCUCUCUCUCUCUCUCUCUCUCUCUCUCUCUCUACUUCCGUAGUUUGUUUAAUAGGAACAGAAUUGGAAGCUUUUUUUCAUUUCCUAUUUUUGUUUCAUGUAAAUCGCUAGAUAUUAACCCCAAACCUGUUGGAAGUGAAAAUUCUCUACACCGACUAAAUUACUAUUUCUUUUUGUUGUUUCUCACCUGGCGUAAAUAACUUCUGGAAUACUUGGGCCUGUUUGUUUGCAAGAAAGUGAAGUGGAAGUGAAAGGGAGGAAGUGAUUUUCGGUGAAAACUGAUCACUUCCGUUGUUUGAUUCGUCGUAAAAAAAUUACAGUCGAAACUCCAGCUAACCUAAAAUGGUGUAAUUGACUUCGGCCCAUCGUAGACCGAAAUCAAUUACGGUGAAAAGAGAUAAAGAAAAAAUAAUAAAAUAAUAUAAUAAGUAAAGAUAUUUAUAUUUAAAUAUAUUUAAUUAUGGUACUAAUUAUUUUUUUAUUCAUUUGACAUAUUUAAAAUAUAAUAAAAAUUGAUUAGUUAAAUUUUAAUAUUUUUUUAAUUAGUUUGUACAAUUAAAAUAUAAUAAAAAUUGAUUAAUUAAAUAUUAAUAUUUUUUUACUUUAUAAUUUUAUUGUUGUAUUAUUAUAAUUUAAAUAAAAAAAUAAAUUUAGUUGUUUUAAAUUAAAUUUUAAUUAUAUACAAAUAUAAUUAUAUUAUUUUUAUUUAUUAAAUUAUUUAUUAUUAUAGGACAAUUUCAUCACUAGCCCUCUCAAAUAUGUAAAUAUCAUAAAUGCUCCUACAAAGUUGAAAAAAUCAUAUAUACCCCUUUAAAUGCAAAAAAAAUUCACAAGCACCCUUCCUUCCAACUGCCGUUACCAUAACCAUGAUUAAAAUUUGGUUAAGGGUUGAGUUAUAAAAUGACUAAUUUAGCCCUAAAAAGGUUAAGUAUUAUUUUGCCAGCAAAUAAUUAAGGGGCAAUUUCAUAAGUACCCUUCUAAAUUUUGAAAAUAACAUCUGUAGCACAAAUUAUUAGUGGGUAAAAAAAAAAGAAACUCCUCACCAAUAUAUCAUUUUGAACUAGAUCCCUUUAAAUUUUAUUUUUAACAUUAAGGGCCCUUGAACUACCAAUUUUUCUUUAUUUGGACUUUACUUAGUUAAAAGUUUUUCAAUUGAGAUCCCUCACAUGAAUUUGAUAAAAUUUUUAAUUUUGUUGGGAAAAAACACUCAAUUACUAAAAUUUAAAAAAAACACUUAGGUUGAGAGGGUAUAUAUAUAGAGAGUUUUGUUAUAAUACUAUCGGUAGUACAGCUUGAUUUACUACGAUUUGUUUUCAAUGAUAGAAUUUCCAAAUUGACAAUCGGCACCGUUAAACAUGAUAUAAACCAUUUAAACUAUCUGAAAGUUAAAUCUCACGCUUUUCCGAGUUAGGAUUAUGUCGAAGUGGACUAUAGAUGAGAGGGUUUUCAUAAAAUUUUACUUUAUUGUUAACAAUAAAUUUUCAAUUAAAAAUUUUUUGUUUGAGCAGAUCAUAUAAGUAAUACUCUAAUAUCAAGAAUUUUGAUAUCAAAAUAUUUUUAGCGUGAGAUAUGUGAGUUAUUUAAAUAAUAUUUUAAAAAUAAAUCUUUAAAUAAUUAAUGUUGAAUAUGGACAAUUAUAUUACAACUAUAUAUAAUUUAAAAGUAAAAAAUCAUAAUGAGAUUUAACUAUCACACUUAAUAGACUAUAGAUUUUUAAUUAUAAAAUUUAAAAAAAAUGUUAAAUUAUUAUGUGAUUCAAAAGUUAGAAAUUGAUCAUAUAAUUAAUCUUUAAAUAUUACAUGAUUAGAUUCGUGCUAGGGAUAAAAUUGGUAUUUAUAAAAUAUUGGAUGACUUCUUGACGAAAAGUUAAUCUAAAGGAUAUCUAUGAAUAUUUUUGGUUUAAAAAGGAGUAUUGAUGAUAUUUUGUAGUCUAGAGGGGUAUUGAUGAAAUUAUCCCUUAUUUAUAAGGGUAUUUAUGAAAAGUAAAAAUAUAUCCGUUGAGGUGGUACAGGAGUAGAAAUGAAAUUUACAACUUGUUUUGUUAGAUUCUCACAACACAUUAUGCAUAGGGGUAUUUAUAAAUUUUUUUUGAAUUUAAAAAGCCAUUCAUGAUAUUUUUAAUUUUAGAGGAGCAUUGAUGAAAUUUCAGCGUCCUAUAAGAAUAUCCAUGAAAUUUUAUCUAUGAAAUUUUAUCUAUGAAAUUUUCUCUAUUAUUUAUAUAUAAAUUAUAGUUUUAUAUCAUAUACUUCCUACCAAACAAACAACGGAACUAAUAAAACUUUAGUUUCAUAAUUACAAAACAAAUAGCGAAAAAGUAGUAGUUUUCACCGAACUCCACAUAAACCCAAAGCCCAAUUUCGGUGAAACAAAAAUGCCCUAAGCUAAACACCGAAAAAUGACUAUUUACAGCCAAAGAUGACUUCAUCCCUCCCACCUAGGGCAAACCAAACAUAAUACUCUAGUGGCAGAUGUCAUUCAAAAUGAAAACCUGAUGAAAUUGAGAUAACUUAGGACUGAUUCUAAUUACAUGUUACUGACAUAUUGAUCUAAUAGAUACGAUCGAUGUGAUCGGAAAUGACGGAAAACCAAUCGUAACACAACCAAAAACAUCGACCGUCCCUAGCGCAAGUGGCAAAAAGGUUUGAUGGUUGGUAUCAGAGACCCAAAUUUGAAUCCUAGUUGAUUCACAUUUCUAGCUAAGUUUAUUUCUAAAUGAAAUAAACGAAGCGGAUAGCAUACUAUCUUUUUCUCAAAAAAAAAAAAAAAAAAAAAAAAAAAAAAAACAACAACAACAACAACAAUAACAACAACAACAACGCAACCAAAAACCUGGAACUGAUAGUCUAUGAACUACAAGAAGUUUGGAGGGAGUGUGACCUCUCUUUAUUCUUGAAGGUAAAUGAACCAUCAAAUUCAUGAGGUACACAAUUAUUACAACUGAUAGUACUACUUUUCGUCUUGUUCACAUUUAAAAAGCACUUUUUUCAUGCAAUGCUCAUAUUUUCCAAACUUAGAACGUAGUAUUUCAACUCUUUCACAUUUAUUAUCAAAGGAGCUCACACUGCAUCAAGUACUUGUCUAAAAUCAUACAAUAGCACAAGCCAUUACCAAACGAAAUGCUAUGUCAGAUAUGCAUCUAAAGCUUGGGAUGUGCAACCUAAGGUUUGCGGCAUUUUGUUACAUGAGUAAUGCUAUCUGUACACCCAAAAGUAGAUAAAAAUCUUCCGGCCCACCCAUCCAAAGGUUAAUUUUACCACACUAGUCUUCUCACAACUUUUUUUUUAGUACUAAAAAUCCAAAAGAGUUGUCAGUUGUUUCGAUCAUCAGAUGAAGAGGGUGUAAGAUAUAUGCCGGCCCACUUUUGGAUGUGCGGAGAGCAUUUCUCUUGCUAUAUAUGGUCUCAAUACUUGGCCAUGCAAAAGUUAAUUGCAAAUGCAAUGGCAAAGGAAGAAAAGCUAACUACAAAUAAAUGAGAAAAGCAACCAUGUGUACCAGAAACAACAAAGGUUGAAACAAAGGAGCCGCAAAUGUAUCCCUGUGAAAUUUCAAAAAUACCUCUGUAGUCCUCCAAAGCUGAUUAAUAGCAUAUUUCUCCUCAAAAUAGAUUCCAACUGCGAAAUAUAAAAAUUUAAAUAUGCAGGUCGAAGUUAAUUUGGGGGUGAAAUCAAAUAGAAAAGAGGCUUCAGGGUUUUCGGUUCUGAUAACACGAGAUGUAUUAGGAGCAACUCAAGGCUAUCUAAGACUUCCAAACUAAGCAGGCAAAUUUCUGGUAAACCACAUGUGCAAACUAGUACAUUCAAAAAGGCCGGAUUGAUCUCAACUAGUAGUGGUGAUCCAAUGGGUCAGCUGAAAGACGGAAUGAUCACUAUGCUCAGUUAAAGCAAUAUUGGAGAUGCCACCUCCGAGUAAUUUGGAGGUGUUAAGGUCUCAUCAAGGUCACUAGGACUAAUAUCAGAAGAUUCAUAUCAAAUAUUUCUAGUUGUCUUCACACUUUUUCCAGACUUACGAAGAAAGGGGUGGAGAUCGCAUGGGAUGAAUCCUGCCAGAAUGCACUCAAUAGCAUCCGACAAUAUCUGCUAAACCCACCUGUGCCGGCUGGCACCAAUUAAAGGAAGGCCACUUAUUUUGUACACUGCUGCUAUCACUUAAAGCCCUCUUGGCCCAACAGCAUGAAAGAAGGCGAGAUCACCCAAUGUGCAGGAAAUUUUUUGCAUACAGGGACUGCAGGAAACCUACACCCCUGUUUGAUGCAGUUAUUAAUCUGAAGAAUUUUGUCAAUCGGAUAUCUUAAGAGCAUGAUCAACCAGUUAAAUAACCAUGAUUCAGAUUCCAUUUUUAGUCAGAACUUGCAUCUUAACUUUUGCGUUAUUUUUCAGCUUACCUAAUUUUUGCACUAAUUCAUGUCCUAGUGUUGAGAAUAAUUAGGGUUAAUAUAAGCUGCAGUAAACAGGCUCUAUAUGCAAAGAAAACAAACUCUGAUAUAGCAUUUCAAAUCCUAGAAUAGUAUGCACUUCGAAGGCCCAGAGAGAAAUAUUAAUAUAAGCAUAUGGUGCACAUCAAACAUAACUACUCGAGGAAGUUUUAGAUAUUGUACAUACAAAGAACAAGGUAAUUCAAAAGCUGAUUUUCAUAAAAUAUUUAAAAAGAAAGCGGAACUAGAGCACGGCAACACAAAAUUUACUGACCCAAAAGAGUUUACACAGCUUUAGGGAUGGCAACAGCUUCUGGCGCUGGCAGGGUUACUGAUCUCAGCAGUUCCAACGAGCAAACAAGCCCCAGAAAAUGCGAAAGGAUGGUAUUGGCUGAAGCCUGAUAACAAUUAAAGCAAGUUAGAGAACUACUUUCCAACAGUUGUCAUAAUUAAAAGAUACUAAAGUUUCAGAGAUCUAGUCAUAGCAAAAGCUGAGACUACAGUUUCCAAGAACUAUUUUUAUGGAAGAAAUUAACCAUUUGAUAUCUAUGAAACAACCAAUUAUAAUAUAUUAGAAAAUAGCAUUUUCAUAUUUUAUAUUUAACACUCCCCCCUCACAAUUGGGCUCAAGACAUGGAGUAGAAUUUAAUGGGAGAAAAUUCGAUGAACUAGUAGCCUAGUUGAUUAAAACUUAGGAACUCCUGCUUUGAUACCAAUAUACCAUGUGAAAUAAUUAAUUACUCAAAAAGCAUAAGCUGCCAGGGAAGAAUGGUUCAACAUUUUCUAUUCAACAGAUACUUCUUCCAAAAGCUCUAAUUGUUGAGAUGAUAACUGCGCAAAGUCUUAUAUAUGAAUAGGAAGGAAAAAAAAACAUAUGAUUGAUUAAUCAAACGCGAUCUUUGUAUAGCAUGCAAAGAACAAUUAAGUAGGAUAUUCUAGAAAAAGGAAAAUAUCUCUGUGAAGGGUAGAAAGAACGUAACAAACAUUGAAUACAACAGCCAAUAUUGAAAUUCAAAAUGCAUGAAUUUAAUCAAAUAACAAUAAAGAGCUAGAAGUAGACGCAACUGGUUAUAAAGAAUGUCUCAUAACUAGUACUUUCUAUUAGAUUUCAAACAACUUACCAUGCAUUUUUUUUCAUGUCAAUGGUGAAAGCAGUAGAAUUUAUUUAUCAAGAUAAAUAUUUCAUACUUUAUUAAUGAAGACUAUAAGCUGCAAGCUAAGUAACACAUUUAAAGCUGCAGAUUUAGUACCAAACAACCAGAAAUUUCAAGAUCUAAGAAACAAUGAACACGAUGUUCGUGAUAAGCUGGAGACAAAUGCUGCUGCACUUCGUAGAGGAGAAGAAAUCUGAUUUAAGAAUUAUUUAUCUUUGUAUAUUUACCACAAACACAAAACGAAAAAGAAAAAAAAAACACCUGCAGCUGAGCUCAUUAUAGCUAUAUGUUACUCCUACCAAAGAAAACAGAAAUUAAUAUCUAUUGUUGGGUGGAGAGAGGAGUAAAAAAAGGCAAAUGUAUUACCAAGAAAAUGCCAAGGAAAAAUGAGAGAAAAUGACUUUAUAAUCAAGUACAGGAUUAUUAUAUACCUGUACUAAGAAAACAUCUAACGCCAACACAGGACUCCGACCAGGGGGUAUCCCCUGAUAGUAUGGAACUGCUGAGGUAGUAAGGGCUUUUGCAACCAAUAACCCAACGGUUGCUUGCAUGCCAAGAACUGCAGCGCCCAUUCCGAGAAGAUUAACCACUAUACCAUUCUUCAGACUUUUAACCACAUCAGCACGUGGAGGGGCCUAGAAAACAAAAGAAGUGUAUAAAAAUUCUGAAGUUAAAUGAAGCACCAACAAAAGAAUCUAACUGACUGUUGUUUUUAAUCCUAUGGUGUUAGAAAUAAACUAAAAUUAAUUUUCCACCAAUGUAUUAGGAGACUUGUAUGAUCUCCCUGAUCAUACCUCUCCAAAGCUAUUUGUGGCACUCUUAGUUUUUACCCCUUCGAAUUUAUAGAGAAGGUUCUGCCUCACACUUUUGUUAUGUGACACAAUAGUAAUAUAAACACAAAACAAUCAUAGAGGUUAGCAUUGCAAGAAAGUUUGUCGAGGUCAAUGAAGACUUAAGCACCAGGAUAAAAGAAUAGAAAAUAUUGAUAUGAAACUCUCAAUCAAGCAUUCUUUCUUUUUGAAGAAAAAAAUUUUAUCUUCGCGAAAGGUGACAAACAAAAAGCUACACAAACUGCUAACUAAUUUUGUAGGAUAACAUUUUGGUAUUUUAGAAAUUUUGUAGGAUAACAUUUUGGUACUUUAGAAAUUAACAUUUUGUAGGAUACACAAGUACUUUGGAGUUUCAUACAAGCAGAAGCUACAGGGCACGCAAAAGAAGUGUCAUUUUUGAAAUGCAAGGAAUGAGAUGGCUUCCAAAAUCCUAAACCCUACAGGACGGUAUAUUAUUUCUCUGUAAUUAUAACCUAUCAUUUGUGUAAUAACUGAUGUAGAAUGACUAUGCACUUAUAUAUGUUCAUUUAUACAAGUAGUUGACAUCUGAAACAGGAUAUCAAAUGAGAUUUCGGCAACAGAUAACAAAUUACUCACUAUUUACUAUUAGUGCUUGAAUAUUUAUUCAAAUUUUCCAAUUCAGCAACCAUGUCAAACAGCAUAACAUUGACAGCCAGAAAAUGCAAGGUUAGAGAGAGAUAGAGAGAGAGAGAGAGAGAGAGAGUACCUUGGCAGGCUCAUUGGCCGUUCUUUUAAGCCUUUCAGAGAGACGGAUGUAACCAAACGACCAGAAGACUGACACAAAUGCAGCAGCAAUACUGCCAGCAGUGGUGUAAAAUGUGAUUGGUGAUGUGACCUUGCCAGUAACAAGUGUAGAGAACGAUAAUAUCACAGCAGAUACAACUGUGCACACCAGCUGUCCCCAGAACCCAAGGCUACCCAACCGUUUAAAGUAUCGGGAUGUAUUCUCUAGUCUUUUCGAAACCUACUAAUUAAGUCAAAAAGUUUAUAUGAAAAGUGACAGAAGGUUUGUGCAAAUAAAAUAUGAACAGAAGUUUUGUAUGAUAAGAUGCAGGUUAAGCUACUCAAACAAACUGCAGCACUGAAGACUAAAACUUAUAAUGAUAGUUUUACAUAGUUUUGUCAAUAUUUAUCCCUGAAAUCUUUCAAUUUGCAUUUUUAUACAUCAGUUCCACAAAUUUGCAUAUUCAUCGAUCCAUGACUUCCUCAAAUAUUUUCUCUUUGCGUUAUUGUAAUUAGAAUUCAGUAUUCUUCUUAGAUGCCAGUCUAAGAAAAAGCAACAUAACUAAUGACUAAAACUGCCUUAUCUUCUUCCACCAUCUGUUCCCUAGUGUUUACUAGUCAACUCGUCUUUAUAAAAGGUGUCGGGUGACAAAUUCGUUGAACUUUCCAGGUACAUCCAGACUGAAAAUCCUUUAUAACACAACAAAGAUAUAGGCUUUUUUUCUGCUCAAUUUUGAAGGCACUUGGAAUAGGCUUCUCUAUUCUUGUUAUUGUUCGUUUGCAAACUCAUCUUUAUGAAAUAGCUAGGAAAUAAAGAGAAUAAAUAAUAUAUCUUCAUUUUGUUGUCAAACACAAUCCAUAAGAAUAGAGACCGUAAAAAACUCACAAUAGCAAUAUUAGAUAAGGCCAUCCCUAUGUUCCCUCAGCCAUGUAGAACUUGAUAAAGAAACAAACAAUGCCCAAUGAACGGUAAGACUCUUCUUUGUUUAACACCUCAAAGUUCAUCCUACAACUAACCAAUAAGUUACAGACAUAUGUAAAUGUCAUUUUGACCGAUGAAGACUAAUAGAGAAAGAUAUAUAACAUUGUUAGAUAUAGAAUCAAGACUUGUUUCCUCAAUGGAUUAAAUGUAUGUUUAUCCUAAUAUACUUCUCAAAAGGCUAAAACACAAGGAAGUCCCCUGUAUUCAUCGCAAUUUGCACUUUACGCCCACCCACUCCCCUCAAUAAUCAAAACCUAAACAUUGUUGCUCGAUAUACUAAAACCAUCCUGCAUUUUACAACAAACCCCACCCCCUUAACCACCCAACACGCAGAACAGGGCGAAGUACUACAACUAUAUGAAUCUUGGGGCCAUCAAUAGGUUUAGAUGAGUAACCAUACUUACGCAUUAUAGAACAGUUUACUAAUCUGCUAAACUGUCAGUCUUCAAUUGGGUAGUUGGUACAAUUCACAAGGAGGAUGGUAUAUUUCAGGCAUCGAGUUGUAAUUACAAAACCCAAAUGAAAAUAAAAAUCUACCACAUGUUGUACAACCUUUUAAGUGGGGAAAGUUUUCUGGUUUCCAUUAUCGAGUGGGUAAAGGGCAAAUCAGGAUACAUCCAAAAGUAGGUUUUCUGCAUGUUAGCAAAAAAUUUCAGCAAACAGUAGAUCCUUCGAAAGCACUACGCAUUCAUCUCAUCUGUACUCGAUCUCUCAUUCAUCUCAAAACCCUUUGAAUUGUAUUCCAAAAUCCCUUUCGAAGAAACCCAACUCAAAUUAAACCUAACAACGCCUCCCAAAUUUACUCCAUUCCACCUCCCCAUUCAAUUCACCACAUAAGAAUAGACUUUUAUUGCCAAAAACAACAAGAAAAAUCCACAAUCACAAGAACAGAUACCGAGAGAGAGAGAGAGAGACCUGCGCAAACUUUGCCAUCUCGAAUUUUACAAAAAAUCAUCAGUGAUCGAUCCCUUACUCAUUCACCUAAAAACCCUCAAUCAACUCAAACAAAACCAAAUCCAUUCUCCACGCAACGCACCAAAUCAGAUUAGAGACGUUCGUAACAAAAACAACAACAAAACAGAUGCCAAGAAAGAGAGCGACCUGCGCGAGUUUAGCCCUCUCCGAUUCGUCGUCGGCGGCGGGCGAACUCGCCGCGGCGGCAUGCGGGGGCGUCCGAUUCCAACUCCUGCUGCGAUUCCGAUUCCUAGCAGUGAUUAGGGCGAGGAGCUGGGAUGGUGAGGGAGAAGGGGGGAAGUGGGAGAGAGCGGUGGCGGUGGCGGUGGCGGUGGGGGAGGUAGUGCUUGGGAUUAGGGUUAGGGUUAGGGUUAGGGUCAGGGUUUUGCGGCCGCGGCGGGGGAGAGGAGGGUGAAACGCGGCGGCGGAGCGCGGCUGCAGAAGCAGCAGCGCCUGCAUUGUAGCGGUGGUGGUGGUGGCUUCGUUUCCCCCGUAGCCAAGGUAGAGAAAGAAGGGGGCUGGAGAGGGUGAAAUGUAUGGAUAGUCCUUGUACAAUCCCAAUAUUGUAACUUGAUCCCCGUUGUUUUAAAAUGUAGGAUCAGGAAUUUAAGUGCCGAGACGUGGGAUCAUGCAGGAAAUUUGCCGGUACGGUACUAUACUAUGCGUGCCGAGCCGUGUCGAUACAUGCCGGUCAAAAAAUUCUUAUAUACCGACACAUAAUAGUAUGAAAUAUUUAUUUUUUUUAGCAACAAAAUAUUCUAACUAUUUAUUAUAUCUUUUUAUUACAUCUUUUAAACUUUAUUGAGAAAAUUACUUACUAAUUUAAAGAAUAAAGAGUUUUGAACUGUGCCAUCGGUACAGGGUCUGUAUCGUGCCGGUAUCUUGUUAGCACGGUACAGUACGGUGGAUACGGCCCGUGCCAACGGGCACUUAAAACCUUGUGUAGGAUAAACUUCAGAUAUCACCCAUGUGGUUUCGCUUUUUCUCACUUUAGUGUCCUGUGGUUUAAAGUGUAUCAAGUUAGUGUCCUGUGAUUUUAUUUUUAUCUUUUUGACAGCUUCUCCGUUAAUAUUUCGUUAAAUUAUAUAUAAAAAACUUCAUAUACUCCUCCUUGGUUUAUCGAAUAUUCACAUUAAUACCAUUUAGUUUUAACUUUGUCACGGACUUAACGAAAAAAAUUAGUGAAAUCUAUAAUAAAAAGAUAAAGGUGAAAUCAUUGGACACUAAAUUGAUACACUUUAAAUAACAGGGUACUAAAGUGAAAAGUGUAAAACCAUAAGGGUGGUAUUUGAAGUUUUUUCUAAAUUGUAUAAAAUUUAACUCCACUAUCACAUUUUUGGAUCCUGCUAGGGUGGCAAUCCAGCUCACUGUUCGUGAGCCCGUUCGUGUUUGGCUCGAAAUGAGCUCGAGAUUAAAUCGCUCGUUUAGUAAACAAACCGAGCACGAGCUGAAAGAACACGAGCUAGGGUCAGCUCGCUCGUGUUCAGCUCGAUAACUGCUCAAAUACAUAUAUUUUAUAUUUAUAUUAUAUAUAUAAAUAAAUGAUUAUAUAUAUAAUAUAUAUCUAUAUCUAUAUCUAUAUCUAUACUACAUAUAAAAGCGUGAGUUUUACAUUUUUUCCUCUUUCCAAAAAUACCUCUAUCUUUUCUACUAAUAUUUUCGUGUCCAGUAAUUUUCAACCAUUCGUUUCAAAUAAUUUUUCGAAUAAUAAAUUAUUCUUAAACAUAGAUCUUAAGUUUUUAUCAUUGGAUCUCAUCCAACGAUUAAAAAUAAAAGUAUCUGUCACUUUUCUUGACAAAAAUACCCUCAAUAUCCAUUAACUCCUAUCUACGCGUUUUACAAAUAUCUACGCAUUUUCUCAAACGUAAUUUUCGUCAUAACUUAAACAUUAUAUCCUAUUUACGGCGUUUCUAAAAUAUUUUAUUUCUCACACGUAAUAGCACCAAUCACAUAAUAAAUAAAAUAAAAUUAAAUAAAUUUAUCCUAUCUACACGUUUUCUCAAACGCGCCAUAAAUUAAAAUAUCCGUAAUCUCCUAUUUACGUGUUUCUCGAAUAUUUUCUUUCUCACACGUAAUAUCAGCGUCAAUCACGUAGAAUGUUCAUAGAAAGAUUUAAUACCCAUCUAAGCAAAACUAAAUUGUUAAUUAAAUAUAAUUUUACAUUUUUGAAUUUUUUUAGUAAAAUAUUCAAAAGCAAUACCCGUCAAAAUAUUUUACACGUUUCUCGAAUACAAAGCAUAUCUUAAUAUACUCGCAUAUAUAUCUAAAUAUCUUUACAUAUAAUACGUACACUAUCUAAUCUUAUCUUUGUAUAUAAUAUCUAUACUAUCCAACUUAUCUUUGCAUAUAAUUAAUAUCUACACUAUCCAAUCUUAUCUUGUCAUAAUAUUUAUUCACACACAGAAUAUAUUUUUUUUGAGACAUAUUUUUUUAGUAAUAUAUUUUUUAUUUUCACCUAUACUUUUCUCAAAUAUUUUUUUUAGUAAUAUCCUUUCUCAUAUGUCCUUAUGGUUAACACCAGUACAUCGUAGUACAUCAUCAUCAUCGACACCUGCAUAUUGUAACUUUCGCCACCUUCGUCAUAGUUGGAGAGGUAUUUUGAUCUCACCUGAAAAUAUUUUAUUUUUUUAAUGUGUAUUUAUACUAUUUUAGCAUAUUUUUUUGGUAUUUUCACAUUCUUACGUAUACUUUUAUCAAAUAUAAAGUAUACAUUUUUUUAAUAAUAUCCUUUUUCAUUUUCACCUACAUUUUUCUUACAUAUUCUUAAAUAUUUUUUUUAGUUAAUCCUUUCUCAUUUAUCAUCAUUGCCGGCACCAGCACAUGGUCAUCGUCCUCCUCAUCGUCAUCGUCAUCACCGGUGCCGGCACAUUGUCGCCUUCGUCACCUUCGCCGCAGUUAUUUUGAUCCCACCUAAAUUUUUUUUAUACUGUUAUAGCAUAUUUUUUUUAGUAUUUUCUUAUUUUUACUUAUACGUUUCUCAAAUAUAAAGUAUAUUUUUUUUUAGCAAUAUCAUUUUAAAUAUUUUUUUUGUGACAUAACUGUCAAUCUUUUCUCACAUAAUGCAUACGUUUUCUCAAAUAUUACAAAAUAUAUAUGAAAAAUACUUAUAGUAUAAAUUAAUUAAAAUUAUAUAAAACUUAUUUAGAGAUAAAUUAAAGUUAGAAAAAAAUAAUUAAAUAAUAGACAUACACCACCAAUAACGAUUUAAAAUUUAAAAUGUAAAUAUAAAUUUAAUUUAAAAUUAGAUGUGGCAUUUUAAAUUAAAAAUAAAUCAAAUUUUUGAUUCUUUUACAUUAAAAUAUAUAUCAAAUCUUCUAAAUUUUCUUUCUGACGAGAAUGCACGUUACCUAUACAUUUGUCACUGCCUUCUCAAGUGUUUUUUUUAAUUUCUUCCACACCUCCUCUAUUAUGGUUCGCGCCGGCACAUCGUUGUCAUCACCUUCACCAACACAUCUUUAUCCUCCUCGCCGGCACAACUUCAUUGUCACCUUUGCUAGCAUGACGUCGUCGUCCUCACAUUGCAUGUAUAUCGACAGAAGUCCACGAAUCAUAUCGGCGUUGUUGAUGGUCUACCGACAUGUCAUCGGUAGUCGAGAUACAUGCGUAUGCGCAUUAUCGGUGGUCCACAAUCUGUAGGAUAGAUUCAAAAUUCACCCAAAAUUAUAUUAAUAUUUUUACGAUUUUCUUCAAAUCAAUUUGUAUAUAUAUAUAUAUUUUUUAGGGUAUGAAAAAUGUUAAAAUAUUUGUUCAAAUAAGCUCAAUUAAUUUGAACAGUAAUAAUUAUAGAAUAGUAGUACAAUCCGUCUAUAUUUCAAUUUCAUUAAUAACUUAAAAUUAAUAUAUAUUUUAGAAAAAAAUUAUAUUUGAUUUUUUCAAAUAAGUCUUACGUGCAUUGCACGUGUAUAUGACUAGUAUAAUAUAAAUCUUUGUUAUUUGAUUUUUAGCCCAAUCUAAAUAUAAGACCAACUCAAUUAUAAAAUUAUGUAAAAUUUCAACCAUUAGAUCAAAAGUAUAACGGGUGAGAUCUUAUAAAUUUAUUUUCUAUAUUUAUUCUUUCUAAUCCUUUUAAAUUUCUAUUCAUAAACCAAAUCGUAUUCGACUCGGUACUUUAACGUGCUAGCCGAACACAAGCGUGUUUGGCUCGUUGACGCCCCUAGUUCCUGCUACCUAACCUUCAAAAAAUUUUAAUUUUACCAUCAUACCUUUCAAUUUAUUUGAUUUGAGCUAUUUAGAAACUUUGUAACUUCAAAAUUUAAAUACAUUAUUUAUCUUCAUGAAUUUAGUUAUCAUAUUUUAAAUAAUUUAUGUAAUUCUAAAUUCAUAGAAGUAAUUAGUUUAAAUUUUAUAUUGAAGAACCAUCAAAUUAUUUAAAUCAAACAACUUGAAUGACCGGAUGUUAAAAUCAAAAUUUUAAAAAAUUAAGUAGUUGAGUGAAAAUAAUCUAUAGUUUAGAUAAGUUUUAUAUAGUUUUAUCAACUAAGUUUAAACUUUAAAAUUAAAAAUACGAAUUAUUAAAUUCUUAGUCAAUUGAGCUUAUAUCUGCGAGAACCAAAAAUGUAGAAAAAUAUAAUCCAUCCUGAAUCUGCACUGAUUUGCUAAGUAAAUGAAGUGAAAGAUGAAAAAAAAUUUUCUUUCUUUAAUCCAUCCUAACAAAGCCGACAUCCCGAUCAAACUCGAAUGGGCCAAAAUAGAAUUAAAAUUAAUCCAUUCCGAUCCCGAAUCCGUCCCGUUUGCAUUCCUAUUCACUGUCUAAACCAUUUUAGGCUACUUUGAAAUAGAUCCCUCAACUAUUUCUUUUUGCAGUUUGCUUUCCUCGAAUAUAUUGCAUUUGCACAGAAUCCACAAAAUAAAAAAAUAAAAAAUAAAUAAAUAAAUCAUUUUAUCCCACAAUUUAUACAGUAAAUAUACUUUUUUGGUACCGUUUGGUUCGGAUAUAAACAAGAACUAAUUAUUACAGAGAUAAGUAUAAGUAUGGAAAUAAAAAAAAUAGUAUUUGGAUGAAAAUUAAAUUGUUCUCGGAGAUAAGAACAAUUUUAGAUAGUUUUAUAUAAAAAAUGAAGGUGUUGGUGGGAAUAACCGAGAACUACUAUUCUCGAAUAAAAAAUUAACGUUUGGAUAUAAAGGGGGAUAAGGACCUAUUCCUAUUCCUAUCCCCUAACCAAACGCUACAGCAUUGACAAAAUUUUACCAAAUGACUAGCUGAGUAUAAAAUAAGUUUGGAUAAAUUACACAUUUGGCCCUCAAACUAUGAGCGACAACACUCUGGUCCUUAAACUCUAAUUUGUUGUAAUUUUUUUUGUUCGGAAUUUCAUAAUUAUUGCAAUCAAGUCCCAUACUCUAAUUUAGUUGACUAAAUAUUAAUACAAAUAAUGUGGCAUCUUUUUAUUGAUGCAUAACCACCGAUCACAAUGCUGCUAAAUCACUUCUAUAUUAGCGAUACAUCUAUAUUUAGUCAACUAAAUUGAGGUACAGAACUUGAUUGCAACAAUUCUAAAAAUUCAAGCCAAAUCUUGCAACAAAUUAAAGUUUAAGAAUCAAAAUGUCACCGACCUUAUAGUUUGAGUAAACAUGCAAAAGAAUAAAAUCCUUUUUUUUUUUAAACUCAUUUUGAGAAUAACAUGCAAAACAUAAUACAUCUGAAGAGACAACAUACUACCUUAGAAUAUCAAAUGAUGAGCAGCACUGCCGCAUUCGGCAACCCUAGAUCUACAAUGAUCAGUGCAUGGUAUAAGCUGGGGAACGUCGACUGGCCCGUGUAUGCGAGAAUGAGUGCUUGUGCGCACGCAUGCUCGUGCGCGCAAGCACGCAUACGUGUGAAUCGGUGUGUGCGUGCAUGCGCGCGCGUGUUUGUGUCUGUGUGUGUGUGCACCUGCAUGCUUCCAGAGAAUGAGAAACAGAAACAAUUGGACAGCUUGCAUGUACAAAAAAAAAAAAAAAAAAAAAAAAAAAAAAAAAAAAAGGCUUAUCAUUAGUUAAAAAAGUAGCAUAAUGAAGGGCACAAUGUUCUUAUUUUCACCAACCUAAAGUGAUUGUGAUGAUAUGAGUGAGAUUAUUCUACCUGGUUUUUGUCUCACUUCGACUCAAUAAAAACCUAUAUACAUAAGAGAGAAGUAUUCUUUUUAAAGGCCUAUAAGUAAACUUGCAUUGUGUAAACUUGCAAUGUGCGCAAUUUUAAAAGUAUUAGAAUGGAAAUAUUUAUUUGAUGAGGAUGCACCGGAUCGGGCAACCUUCGGCACCACGGAGUCGAAGAGGUAAGCAAUGCAAAGUGUAUAUCCCUGGUUUGAUGUUCUCCAACUUUAGUCCUUCAACAAGGAUUAUUUCCUGGAAAACAGUGCAACUAACAAUUAGAAAUUGAUUUUACCUAUAAAGAAAAGGAAAAAAAUCGUAUCAAUCAAGAUUAUAUUGAAAAGGAAAAUCACGCACCCGGCUUUCGAGAAAAACUAAGUGUGAAGGGAUCAAGUCGUCGUAUGCAGCAACUGAUAAGUAGUCGACUCCUGCAAAUUAUAACAUAAAGUAAAAAGUGUUUGUUGGAGAAAUUUUAGUACUAGUAGCACGACGCUUGUAAGUAGAAGUGAUCGACAAGAAUUGAAGAACCAAGCAUUUUAAAACAUUCUGAACAGCACCGAAAUCGAUGGACAAGAAUUCAUAACCACAACGCAAAUUGAGAUACUAAAAUAAGCGCAGUUAAUGGAGAGAAGAACUACACUAGAAAAGAUAGCAAUGACUAAAAUAUAUGACAUCUAGGAAAUUAAUGGCAAAGAAGGAGCUAAAAUAAUAUCAGAAUUAUGCAAACAGCUUGUGCAAUACCACAAGCUAAAAUGCAUGGCUGACCUACAAAUCAGAAUAAAAGAAAAUGAAAUCUAAGUGAUAUACAAUCUUCCAUGUUAUAUUGUUCCACUACUCCAUUCAUAGGCACUCGAUGAUAUCGCUUUUGUGUUCUAAACAUUUAAAUUCUAAAAUUUCACAGGCUAUUAUAAGAGUUAUCCAUAAACAAACAUAUGGGUAAUGAAUUCCUCAAAGUUAUUAGUGACCUGCAUGUCAUUCAGGAAAUUAACUUUGCAACGCAAAAUUUUUAACUUAAAUUACAUUAUGACCAAUUACUUAAAGAAACAGAAUGUCAAAUGUUACGCAGCGUUGGACAGAGAUGUCAAAUAUGAACAGUGGCUGCUUGGUAACGGCCAGAAGACAUUGACCACUUUGACCACUCUGCUUUAAUUUACAAACUCAUAUUCAGUAACAUUCAAGGCAGACUAGGAAGAAUCAAAUGAGAAGGAAUAGCAGGAAAGAAUAAGAAUAAA